rnacentral:lncRNA from 1 species
UGCUUGCUGGGACUGUGUCGUUAGCAUAGAUGCUUUAACUCAAAAGGCACAACAUGCAGGGUAUUUAUGUACUUUUGUUUUUCUUUACCACCAUGCAUGCAUGGGGUCAUGCAUGACGACUGGCACCAUGAACUAACUCUAUAUAAGCCAAACUGCUUAAUUGCAGCCACCCUGGCCCAAUUUAUCAGUGGUAUAAUCUUAGCACAAUCAGACAAACACAUUCCCUACUUCCAAAGAAAAAGCUUGGAAAAGUACAGUUUCUGGUGGUCUAGCUAGAACGAAACAAGUCUCUUCUGUUUGAGUAUUUGUGUUCAGAGUUCAGAUAUGAUGCUUACAACGCAAGUGUCUUCUCAUGUUUUCAGGAUCGAUGAAGCAGUGUAAGCUCCAGUGGACAGUCAACAAAGUUGUACAAACUAGAUCUCUUAAGAAUGGGCCGAUGUUCUAGGAGGAAGCAAGGGUAUCCAGCAUUGGUUAGAAUAACAGGAAGGAUUGGAGUAUUGUCUAUUGUGUGGACAAAGUAUUGUUAGGCCCUGUCCAAGGUUAAGUCUGUUAGAUUCUCGUCUACAUUCAUGAACUGCAUGUUGUUAAUUCUCCCGUGGAACCAAGUCGUCAAAUAAAAUGUCAUGUAAACUCAUGUGUUUGUGUUAUUUGUAAGAAGUUGUACCUGUAGCAGUUUAUCGUCUCCAAUAUCUGGUUUAGCUGGCCACCAUGUGCAGUUUGGACUCCACAGGUUCAGAAAGCACACCGAAUCCUUGUCACUGCUGCCUUCCUCCUUCCUAAAAGAGAGUUCACUAAACUUUGUUAAAGAACCACAGGAAGAACCUAAUAAUGCCAGAAUAAUCGACAUCUGAGCCCACCAAUAUUCACUGUUAAGCAUCAUUGAAUCUAAGGUGGUAUUACGGCCAGUAGAAUCAAGAACAGUCCUUGAGAUUGGCCAUAUUGUUUCCAGCCAUAACAAUCACACUGUUCUCUACAAGUAACAGUACAGGGUGAAAGUAAACUUCAUUGCUAACAAGGCAGGAAAAGUACAUCAAGAUACAGCGAUCAAGAUAACAAGGAAAGACACACAAGUCACAAUGUCACAUGAUGAUACUUCAUUAAUCCUGGCAGCAUCUGCAACAUUGUCAUCUAAAUUUAUAAAUCAAUUCGUAAUUUCAUCUGGAUUCUGUAAAACUUAAUUGUUACUAUCAUGAGUAGAACCAAUCCUUUUCUUCCUUCUCCUCUUGAUUAUAGAAUUAUGAAAAUAAUUAGUAUUCCUAUCCCCUUUUUGCUUGUAAAAUUUUGUUAGCUUGGUGAUAGUUUUGUCAUAAAACUCCACCGAGCUAGCGUCUUCAUUGUGGUCUUGCAAAUGAAUAGGUUUAGUCUGCAAAUUUUCCAGAUAUUUGUGAAUGGAGUCAAGUUGUUGCUUCAAAAUCCUUUUACUUUUACUCCAUCUCCUGAGCAUGCCUACAAGAAGAGAAGUUCUAACAUGGAAGGGCUUUUAUUAGUAGUUCUAACAUGGAAUGGUUAGUGUUGUUCUAUCAUCAUUGCCCACCUUCAUUGUCAUUUGCUUAUUGCUCUAUAAAGGAAUCAUUGGAAAAGUUGGUAAUUACAAAAGGCAUCACUUCUGACAUAAAUAGGUUUUGCCCCGCUUUGUAAAUAAAUUAACCAACACGUCCAUACAAGAAGUCCAUGAGCCGCCGAAACUAAAAUAGUCAGUUGGGGAAACAACACAAACACGCCCAAAAGAAAGCAGAAAAGAAAGAUGAAAAAGGGCACCAAGUGGCCGGGAGAUUAGGCGAUCUUCGACAAAUCAAGAUGGCACGCAGCAACAGUCAUAGUGACCACCAUGUGUCCUAGCCGGCCUCGAUCACACUUUCUAGAGCGCGGAUGCUAAUGCUGUAGAAAUGCAAGGAAUUUUAAGAUAAAAGUCCGAGGCCCGCCUAAGAAAGACCCGCUCAAUCACAGAAUAUUUGGACAAGAAUAAUCCUCCCAUUGUUGCUUGGGACUUAAUUUGUAGACCUAAAAAUAAAGGAGGAUUGGGCUUUAUUAAUAUGCGUACAUGGAUAUUUGUCUGCUUCUAAAGAUGGUGCAUAAAUUCCUGAACUAUGUUGUUCUUUCUUGGGUACACCUGAUCUAGGAGGCUUACUAUCAAAAUGGAAUCCCCAAUGAGCAGAUUUCCUAUUGUUCAUCCUGGUGGAGAGAUUGCCUUAAGUUGCUGCACAUCUAUAAAACUCAUGUUGGUUGCUCUGUUCAGAAUGGUAAGUCCAUUGAUCUUUGGCAUGACAAAUGGCAGGACAUACCUAGUAUUAGAAAAUGUCCAUACUUGCAUUCUUUUUCUUAUAAUAAACAUAUAUCUUUGCAAAGCUUGUAACUUGGAAGAUUUCUCGGAUCAUUUCCAUCUACCUCUCUCUGAAGAAGCUUACACUAAAUUCAAGAGCUUGAUACAAUGUCACUUUAGAGACAUACAAUUGGAAUCUACCUCCAGGUGCCUCCAACUUCAAAGUGUCCAAAGCAUACCAAUUUAUCAUUGUGGAUCAUCCAGCCAUGAAAUGGAUAUGGAGGACUUGUUGUCAGCUCAAACACAAAAUCUUCCUAUGGCUACUUCUCCAGAAUAGAUGCAACAGUAGAGCAAUGCUUCAUAGGAAGAAUUUUUCUCUUGUUGGUUAUACUUGUGUUAUGUCUGGUAUGUAGGUAUUAGAAACUAGAGGUCAUCUUUUCUUCCAUUGUCCUUUUGCACAUGUAUGUUGGACAUACCUUUGCCAAUCCACGCUACCAAGGAGUCCAAACAGAUAUUGAUGACAUCAAGGAACUCCUGGGAAUGCCUUUCUCUUUUGAGAUCAUCAUUUUAGCCUCAUGCAAAAUUUGGACAACAAGGAAUGACUUCAUCUUCAAAGGCAUUACUCCUAACCUUUUAUGCUUGCAGGAAAAAGUUUAAGGAGGAGCUCAAAUGGACUAUCCAUGGAGAAAAGAGAAUAGGGUAUCUUCAUAUUGAAACAUGGGUCAACUCUCACUAGUAGAAAAAGGGUCAAAUGUGAAGCACAUUAGUGCUGGUUUGGUUUUGAGCCGGCACUAAUGUGUCCAUUAGUGCCGGUUCCAACGGCUAGCCGGCCGCUCUCAUUAGUAUCAGUUCGUGGAGAACCUUUAGCACCAGUUCGUGUCCACGAACCGGUACUAAAGAGAGUGGUGGCAGGAUGUUGUCAGUCUGGGGCCCCUCCAGCACCUUAAGUACCGGUUCGUGUCACGAACCGGUACUAAAGGUCGAUGUACAUAAACCCUUCGUCCACCCGAGCUCGCUCUGUUCUUCCCCUUUCCCCUCUCCUCCUCUGUUCUUCCCCUCUCUUCCUCGAGCUCAUCACACAUUUUGCCCAAAAUUUGUCAAGAUUUGAAGGCCCCCAUCCAUUCAAAUGAUCACAAAGGUUAGCAACCUUGUCCUUUCAUCUCUCAUUGCUAGAUUAGCUCUUCCAAUGCUUUGUAUAGUGAUUAAUUUGUGAGUUUAGUAAUUUGGGAGGAAUUAUAUGUGCUAGUAUUUGAUUUAUAUGCAAUUUGAGGUCAAAAAUAACACUUAGUUUGCAUAUGUAGGUGUGGUUUACUUAGUGCCUUCUAAAUCUCCAUCGUAACCACUGUCGAUCGCCCGCACCGUCCCGUCACCGGCACCAAAUUGAUGUUUGUGUGAUUUGGAUAUAUAGUUACUCAUAUAAUUAUCUUACCUGUACUUUGUUUGUUAUACAUAGUGUCAUGGUUUUGAUAUCCGUCCCCGUCGGCCCUCGUCCUUGUUAUGAUUCAGAUGUGAUAUAUUCUCUUCUAAAACUAGUUGUUGCAUUUCGUGUUUAUGACAAAUUAUGCCCAUCAAGUUGACAUAGAUAUUUUUAUCUAGGAGGUAUGUGAACCGAAAAUUCCAACCGACCCUAUUGUCGAGAGGUUAAAUUUAGUUGAAAGAGAAGACGAGUAUUUGAAAGAAAAUUUGAAAAGAAUUGAGGGGGAGAAGAUGGAAUUGGAGUUGCAUGUUGCCGAUGUCAUCGAUGAUCACAAGAUCAAGAUGGAGAAAAUGCGGUUGAAGAUUAGAAAGAUUAUAAAAUAUGCCAUUGAUAGUGUGGCUUGGUAUCAUUAUGUUGUUGGAUCAAUUGUUACCUUAGUUGCAAUCUUGAUCGCAUUUGUUGUUGCAUUUAAAUUCUUUAGCUAGAGAGUUAUUUAUAUGUUGCAUUUAAUUAAGUGUUGUAUAUGAACUUUAUGUAUGAACUUGUAUUAAUUUGGUCUAUUCGGUGUUGUGUAAUGAACAUGAGCCGACAAUGGAUGUAUGAUGACCGAUGCUCUCCCGAGUUCAUUAAUGGCGUGCAUACUUUUCUGCUUGCCGCUGAGGCAAACAAGCGGGCGGAUUGUUUUAUGCCCUGUCCAUGUGCUGGCUGUAAGAAUGGUCACAAUUACUCUACGUCAAGAACGAUUCACGUCCACCCAUUUGAGUCCGGUUUCAUGCCCCACUAUAAUGUUUGGACCAAGCAUACAGAAAGAGGAGUUAUAAUGGACGACAAUGAAGAAGAAGAGGACGACGACAACUAUCCUGGCCAUGGGUUCCCUGAAUACGAUGAUACAACAAUGGGGGAAGAAGCUGAGCCGGCAAUGCAGGAAGAAGUUGAAGAAGAGGCAUCAGAUGAGCCCGCUGAUGAUCUAGGUCGGGCCAUUGCCAAUGCAAAGAGAAAUCACGCAAGUGAUUUUGAGAAGAAGAAGUUGCAGCGCAUGUUAGAUGAUCACAAGAAUUUGUUGUACCCGAAUUGCGAAGCUGACAAAAAAAAGUUGGGCACCACACUGGAAUUGCUGCAAGGGAAGGCACAGAAUGGUGUAUCUGACAAGGGAUUUGGAAAGUUGCUGGUAAUGAUAAAGAAUAUGCUUCCAAAGGACAACGAAUUGCCUGAGAGUACAUAUGAAGCAAAGAAGGUUGUCUGCCCUCUAGGGUUAGAGGUGCAGAAGAUACAUGCAUGCCCUAAUGACUGCAUCCUCUACCGCGGCGAGUACGAGGAUUUGAACGCUUGCUCGGUAUGCGGUGCAUUGCGUUAUAAGAUCAGUUGCGAUGACCCUGGUGAUGUCGAGGGCGAGCGCCCCAGGAAUAAGAUUCCUGCCAAGGUGAUGUGGUAUGCUCCUAUAAUACCACGGUUGAAACGUUUGUUCCAAAACAAAGAGCAUGCUAAGGCGAUGCGGUGGCACGGAGAAGACCGUAAGAAAGACGGAAAGUUGAGAGUACCCGCUGACGCUUCGUAGUGGAGAAAAAUUGAGAGAAAGUACAGGGAGGAGUUUGCAGGUGACACAAGGAACGUAUGGUUUGGUCUAAGCGCAGAUGGCAUUAAUCCUUUUGGGGAGCAGAGCAGCAACCAUAGCACCUGGCCUCUGACUCUAUGUUUGUAUAAUCUUCCUCCUUGGUUGUGCAUGAAGCGGAAGUUCAUUAUGAUGCCAGUGCUCAUCCAAGGCCCUAAGCAACCCGGCAACGACAUUGAUGUGUACCUAAGGGUCAUUAGUUGAAGAACUAUUACAGCUGUGGAAUGGAACAGGUGUACGUGCGUGGGAUGAGCACGGACAGGAAGAAUUUGACCUAAAGGCGUUGCUGUUCGUGACCAUCAAUGAUUGGCCUGCUCUCAGUAACCUUUUAGGACAGACAAACAAGGGAUACCGCGGAUGCACGCACUGUUUGGAUGAUACCGACAAUAUAUAUUUGGAUAGUUGUAGGAAGAUUGUGUACCUGGGACAUCGUCGAUUUCUUCCGAGCAGGCAUCCCGUAAGAAAGAAAGGCUAGCAUUUCAAAGGUGAGGUGGAUCACCGGACGAAGCCUCGCCACCGUACUGGUGAUGAUGUACAUGAUAUGGUCAAGGAUUUUAAGGUAAUCUUUGGAAAGGGUCCUGGCGGACAACCUGUUCCGAAGGACGCUGACGGACGCGCACCCAUGUGGAAGAAGAAAUCUAUAUUUUGGGACCUGCCAUAUUGGAAAUACCUAUAGGUCCGCUCCGCAAUCGACAUGAUGCACAUGAUGAAGAAUCUUUGCGUGACCCUGCUUGGCUUUUUGGGCGUGUAUGGGAAGACAAAAGAUACACCAGAGGCACGGGAGGACCAGCAACGUAUGCACGGAAAAGACGACAUACAUCAGGGUCAGGCCAGCUACGCUCUUACCAAAGAAGAGAAGGAAAUCUUCUUUGAAUGCCUGCUCAGCAUGAAGGUACCGUCUGGCUUCUCGUCGAAUAUAAAAGGGAAUAAUAAAUAUGGCAGAGAAAAAGCUCCAGAACCUAGAGUCUCAUGACUACCACGUGAUUAUGACGCAACUGCUUCCGGUUGCAUUGAGGGGGCUUCUACCGGAAAACGUUCGAUUAGCCAUUGUGAAGCUAUGUGCAUUCCUCAAUGCAAUCUCUCAGAAGGUAAUCGAUCCAGAAAUCAUACCAAGGUUACAGAAUGAUUUGGUGCAAUGUCUUGUCAGUUUCGAGUUGGUGUUCCCACCAUCCUUCUUCAACAUCAUGACGCACAUCCUAGUUCACCUUUGCGAAGAGAUUAACGUUUUGGGUCCUGUAUUUCUACACAAUAUGUUCCCCUUUGAGAGGUUCAUGGGAGUCUUGAAGAAAUAUGUUCAUAACCGUGCUAGGCCAGAAGGAAGCAUCUCGAAGGGCCAUGAAAAUGAGGAGGUCAUUGAGUUUUGUAUUGACUUUAUUCCUGGCCUUAAGCCGAUUGGUGUUCCUGAAUCGCGGCAUAAGGGCAGACUGGAUGGAAAAGGCACGCUAGGAGGGGAUCAAAUAAUAUGUAUGGACGGGCAUUCUCUCACUGAAGCACACUACAUAGUUCUAUAGAAUUCCGCCUUGGUGGCUCCGUAUAUGGAGGAACACAAGAAUUUUCUACACUCCAAACACCCAGAGAAGUCUGACGACUGGAUUACACGUGAACAAACGAGGACUUUCGCCGGUUGGUUGCAGAACAUGCCAUGCAUGACGACGAUAUUCAAGAUGACCUGUACUCACUGUCCCAGUUACCAUCUUCGAAUAUAAUGACUUUCAAAGGGUACCAGAUAAAUGGGAAUACAUUUUACACGAUCGCCCAAGAUAAGAAGAGCACCAACCAAAACAGUGGUGUCCGCUUUGAUGCAACAACCAACACGGGAAAGGAAACAUAUUAUGGUUACAUAGAGUACAUAUGGGAACUUAACUAUGGAGGUGGUUUGAAGGUCCCUUUGUUUCGAUGCAAAUGGGUCAAUAUGACACGAGGCGGGGUAACGUAAGACCCCAGUACGGAAAGACAACAGUGGAUCUCAACAAUCUUGCGUAUGCAGACGAACCAUUCGUCCUAGCCAAUGAUCUUGCGCAGGUUUUUUAUGUGAAAGACAUGUCUACCAGGCCGAGAAAAAAAAAGAUAAGGAAGCGAAUGGAUCAUACGACGAGCCAAAGCGCCACAUAGUUCUUUCAGGGAAAAGAAACAUCGUGGGAGUGGAUGACAAGACAGACAUGUCGGAAGAUUAUGAAAAGUUUGAUGAAAUUGCUCCAUUCACAGUGAAUAUUGACCCGAGCAUCUAGUUAAAUGAUGAAGAUUUUCCAUGGCUACGACGCAAAGGGACACACGCGAAGAAAAAGUUUCACACCCAAAGAUCUGGGAUGUGAUCGGCUUCACUAUCAUCACUUUCUUCUGUUUUUCACACCCAGGAGGGAAUCUCUGUAAUAGUUAAGGUAGUUAUGUGUUUUGGCAUUUGAAACGCGAAGAAAUUUUAUGUGCAAACAAAUUCUUUCAUGCAUUUAUUGAUUUUUUCAGCUAAAUGACCCUGAAAUUGAAAAGCAUUUCAAAUGAACUCAGAAAAGGUUGAAAGUUGGCAUGGUAUAAUAAUUUCACCCACAUAGCAUGUGCAAAAAAGUAGAGAGGGUUACGGCAAUAACUGGAUGCACUUCGUGUACAAAGUGGACAAUCUCUUUCGAAGUAUCAGGGUUUCAGACGAAAACUCAUCUGUUACAAAGGCAUUUCAUUUUUUAAAUAACCUAAGCAUUAACAAAUUGAAUAUAAUGAUAAAACACACUAAUAUUAAACAUAAGAAAAAAAGAAUCACUGAAAAAUCUUUUUUCAAAGUUAAGUUAUGCACAAAGUAGUGAUUCACACAAAUUUCAAAUAAUUCAAAAUUUAAAUUGUUCAAAUUUGAAAACUACCGGCACUAACAGAAAGUUUCUAAUUUUUUGUACCUAAAGCAAAAAUAUUCACAAAGAAACUCUAAAUACAACAAAAAACAACUCAAAAAUAAAUAAAACAAAAAUAAAUAAAGCAAAAAAAAUAAGAAAAUAAAAAAGCCCGCCUACUGGGACAAAGUGGCCUGCAUAUGACUAGAAACACAACGUUUUGUUGGGCCAGGAUGCAGGCCCGCAAAGGCCCAUUAGGCCCACAGGGCAGCAGAGAAGAGGUAAGCCCAGUAGGCCUGCUUAGGAGAGGAGCUCGAGAGAGCUACCGUACUGGGGCUUAUAUACCAGUGAGGUUGCCCCUCGACUAGCAGGUGGGACUAAACUUGCCACACCGCACUGCACCAGCGCACCCCCUUUAGUACCGGGUGGUGGCUUCAACCAGUACUAAAGAGGGGGUCUUUAGUACCGCUUGGUGCCACCACCCGGUACUAAAGGGUGGGUGCUUCCCGCCGCUUGGCCUGGCCAAAAUAGACCUUUAGUACCGGUUGGUGACCCCAACCGGUACUAAAGGUACAUCCUAUAUAUGCAACACUUGAAAAAAAUACAGUUUCCCUCUGUUUCUUCCUCUCCGUCGAUGACACGCCGCCUGCCCCGAUCGACGCCGUCGCCGCCCCGGUCGUCCCCACCCCUCAUCGCCACCCUGGCCGUCACCGUCCCCGUCGUCCCCGUCGCCGCGCCCCGCCCUGUCAUCGCCGCCCCGUCCCGUCGCCCGGUCGUCGCCGCCCCGUCGUCGCCUCGCCGAUGAGCUCAUGGCCUGGCCGCCAUGUCCACACACUCACACACACAUUUUUUUUUUGUUAUAAAUUUUAGUUAUAAAUUUUUUCUGGUUUUUAGUUAUAGAAAUAUCUAUAGAAAUGUUAGAAUUUUUUUUGUUUUUUAGUUAUAGAAAUAUUAGAAAUGUUAGUUAUAUAGAAAUGUUAUAAAUUUUUCUGUUUUUAGUUAUAGAAAUAUUUAUAGAAAUGUUAGCAAUUUUUCUGUUUUUUAGUUAUAUAAAUAUUAGAAACGUUAUAGAAAUGUUAGUUAUAUAAUCUGAAAUGUUACAAAUUUUAGAAUUAGUUUUAGUUAGAUGAAUUAAAUUAAUGUCAAAUUGUUAGAAUUUGCAUAUAUAUAGAAUUUUAGUUAUCACAAUCCAAUCAUUUAAAAAAUGUUACUUUUUGCGGGCAUAUAGUAUUUGUUCUCGAUGAUAUGCCCGGCCCGUAUCCUCGCCGUCGACCCGUUCACGACGACGUCCUGCUUGCUUCAAAGGACCCAUGUCCGGGACUGGGCUCCUCCGGGCUGGCACUGGGAGGUGUUGCCUGGAGGGGCGCGCCACUUGGUGAGGAACCCAGCCUCGGGUCCCGUCAUCGACCCUGAUCUCCUUUGGUGGCGUUCGCAGGGGCCACAUUCGGUGCAGAGGUAGCCGACCCCGCCGGAGGUGGUGCGUCGCCGUGUCAGGGAGGAAGACGAGCACGUCCAUCGCUACAUGGCUGCUAUGGACAUCAGGUUCUCCAAUACUUGGCAGGUUCUUUGGGCAGAUGACCGGAGAUAUGAUCCUGUGAUGGUUCCUUCUCUUUGGGUGUCCACCGCCCACGCCCCAGGAACCGCGAGUGGCCUAGAUUCUUCUGUAGUACUCGAUCUUUAUUAGGUACCUAGCUAGUGAUGUAUUUGAUAUAUAAUAGUCGAGACGAUGUAUUCGAGAUUAUAUAUAUUAUUCAAGACGAUGAUGUAUUCGAGAUUAUAUAUUAGUCGAGACGAUGCAUAUAUUAUGUACUAUAUGAUUCAGUUUUUCCUUAUUGAUUGCAUUCACACAUUGUAAUUGGAAUACUAAAUUGUUUUAUAUUUCUUCUGUCUUAGUUAAGUAAAAGCUAUGGCGGACAAUACCGGCAGAGAGAGAGAAGAGGAAUUGUUCAACAUCAUACGCAGCCCUCGCAGGCUAGAUGAUCUGAAUGAAGCAGAUGACGGCUCCCAAUAUCUGAACAAUACCGGAGAGGGUGAUGAAAAGAUAUUCGAUCUCGAUGACCGAGCUGAUGAAGUCAUGAACUAUGCUUAUGAUUAUGAUGACACAUACAAUGUUUAUGAUGACACAGACAAUACUGACCUUCAAAUAACAAAGACUACCGGCGAGGUAUAUUUAUAUAAGCAGGCAUCUGGUGAUCAUCACAUGUUUUUUUUAUUUGAAGAUAUAUUAACGAAUCGAUUUUUCUUCUUUCAGCCCUCCGGAUCGAGCAAAUCUACUUCUACAGACAGCAGGACAAAGCGAGGCCCGGGGAGAAAGUUGAAGGAGGGUGUAAAGUACAACAUCGACUCCGUCAAACCUAGUGGCGAACCCCUCACGCCUAAGAACAUUGCGAACAAGUGGACUCGUCAGUGCGGAGUUCUUGUGAAGGACCAACUCCCGAUCUCCAUUCAAGAAUGGAAAGAGCCAAAAACUAAACGUCCAGGUGUUACUUGGGUCGAUGACAGAGCAAAAAAAAACCUUUGGGAAUCUCUGAUGGAACAUUUCACCCUACCAGAUUAUUUCACUGAAGCAGAUGCGGAGAAAGUCAAGGGCGCUGCUCUUAAGAAGAUGGCAAUUGCAUUCAACACCCACAAGAAAACUGUAUGGGCCAACUACUUCGCUGCAGAAAGGAAGACUCCAGAAUUUACGGGGACACUGGAGAAGUAAAGAGAACACUGGGCCGAUUUCGUGAAAUUCAAGGAAUCAGAAUUAUCUAAGGAACAGUCGAUAAAAAAUAAGGCCAAUGCCGCAAAAAAGACGCAGUUCCAUAGGCUGGGUCCAGGUGGCUACGCGGUGGGAAUGCCUAAGUGGGAUAAGUCUGAGCAAGAGAUGGAGGAUGCAGGGGUCACUCCGGUUACUAGGAGCUGCCCCCCCAGGUGCAGAACUUGGUUCUAUGCGCAUGGGGGGGCGUUGGACCCGAAGACAGGUCUGGUUUCGCAGAAGGCAAGUCUAAAAGGAGUUGAACAAAAGAUACUUGACGCAAUAGAAGAAGCUCGAACGGGGGUGUUCAUGCCCAACAGAGAGAACGACGAGCUUACGCGCGCCCUGGGAAAUCCUGAACACCCGGGAAGAACAUGAGGCAAGGGCGUUAUUCCCUGGUAUGAGGGCUUUUCGGAAUGGAACGACGACUACAGGUCCCAUGCAAGAAAGAAGAUGGAGGAGGAGAAGAAGAGGAAGCUGGAGGAGGAGCAGAGGAAGCAGGACGCAGAACGCCUUCAAGGCCUAGAAGCAAGGCACGCGGACUUGGCACUCAAAUUCGAUCAGCAACAACAGCAGAUCGACUCACUUAGCCAGGAAAGGGGGUCUCAGCAGCGGUAGCAGCAAGCGGAUGAUCGUCCAGCAUUGGAUGGCACCUUCCCAUCCAUGCUAAGAAGCAGCAUUGGUUCUGCCCCGGGCAACACAUUGCUGGAUACAUACCCUGUGGAUGACAUCAUAGAGAACACUAACUCUGAGCUACACUCCAAAAUGAAGAACAUAUCCAUGAAGGUGGCGAACGGCGUUGCUUUUACAAUUACCCCCGAAGCAACCUUCCAUUGCACCCCGAUUCCAGAGGACUAUGCUCGUGUCUUGGUUGAUGAAGUGGUGGACCCAUAUUCGAGGCUACAGCUUGACAUUCCUGGAGGUGAAGACGAGCGCACACUGGAAGAGGCCAUACAUCGUAUCAUCCUAUGGAGAAAGGAUUGCAUCAUCUUUCGAAGUCCACCGACACCGCGUUGUCUGCCGACUCCUCCUCGAAGUCCGCCACCGAGUCAGCAGACUCCCACUCCUCCAAGUCUACGAACGCGUGAGCCGACUCCUCCUCGAAGUCCGCCACCUCCUCCAAGUCCCCGAACGCGUGAGCAGACUCCUGCUUCAAGUCCGGCACAGCGUCAGGCCACUCCUCCGGUUUCAAGUCUGACACCGUGUCAGGCCACACCUCCUGCUUCAAGUCCGGCACAGCGUCAGGCCACUCCUCUUGCUCCAACUCAGCCACGUCAGCCAUCUCCGCCGUCUCAGCAAUCGCAGAAGAGACACGCCGCAGCUAGGGUGCAUAGCGGUACAAGUCGAGGUAGUUCAGGAAGUACAGGCGGAGACAAGCGAUAUAAAUAUGGUCCAAGCCUCGCUCCUCUUCCUCAGAGGCCUUACAACAUGACCGAGGAGCAAAACGCAGCCAUAGUGCAGGCCCAAGUGGACGCCCAUUUUGCACCGAAAUCGGCACCACCGCCGCCAAAGUGCCCGAGGAAAAGAUUGACCACUUCAUUCGUAUGGCUAGAGCACCAGCUCCCAAGCCUGUUGACUCAUACUAUGAGCGCCAAAUCAGGAAGUCACAUUGAGCACGACUAGAGAAGGAAGCGAGCUCGAGCUCGAGCCAACAAGCAGCGGGCAAAAAAUGCGGGAAAACCGUUCCCCAGCUGGGAGAACAGGCGGCGCAAUCGAUCCCCCCGCUUGUUGUGCCAACAACACAUGAGAGGAGUACGCGCGCCCAAUAUUAUUGUGGGCAAACCGUUAACGUUCCCCAGCUGGGCGAUGUGGUAAUAACGGAGGAGCAUAUAAUGCAGGCUGAAAUGCUGAAGAUCUCUGUUGGACAACUCCUCGAAAUCGAGCCCAUGUCUCCGCUUAGAGAGGAGGAAAUAAAACAGAAAUAUGUCUGGGGCCAACCUUUGGUCGAGCCAGACAAGGUCAAGAACCUCCCAACGAGAAUGUAUGAAUUGCAUCAAUAGUACAUGAACAUUACCAAGAUUUCCAAUCGAGAGUCCCUCAUGGUGAAUGUCAAGGAGGAGCAUUACUUCCAUGAGAAAGCUCUAUCCGUUGAGUAUUUAGAACUAUUUCAGUUAUACAAUCAAGACGCACUCGACAAAUCUAUCGUCGGUUGCUAUUGUUUGUAAGUGAUUGCUUUCUGUAAUUUAAGUCUCAAGCUAGUUGUAGUGAUCAUUUUGAUCAAUCAUUACAUGUAAUUAUCCUCACUAUAUAUUCUUUUAUGUGGUAUUAUAUGCAGGAUGAAGAUGUAUGAAAUGAAAAAAUCUGGACGCUAUGGCAUUGGGUUCAUUGACCCAAAUACCAUUAAUGAGUACACAUGGAAUCUUCCAACUUAUCGAGAUAUUCUAGAGGAAAGCAUGCUGGAGUUCUUCAAGCGCCUCAAUACUAGUGAAGAUAUACUACUUCCUUACAACUUCCUGUGAGUCACACUGUCUUGUACUACAAAUUCUGUUUUUUCUUACUAGCUAGCUAGAUGUUAAUAAUUAAGUGUAUAUGGUUUACGCUAGUUGAUUAGUGUUAUGUACAUGCUCGCUUAAUUAAGACCUGCAAACAUGUGCGCAUGCAGUUUCCACUGGAUCUUGUUAGACAUUAAAGUUGACAAAGGAACAGUUGAAGUACUGGACUCACUACUGAAAGAAGAAAAAGACUACACCAUCGUGAAGGGGAUAGUCAACAGGUAAUUUCAAUCAUUAUUAACUAUAUCUCGGCCUAUUUAGCUCGUCAUUUCCUGAUAUGAACUAUUUAAUAACCCCUUUAUUAAUUUUCUUUGUCGGCGGGCAGGGCUUGAGCAAAGUUCAUCAAGGUGACUCCAGGAAAAUGGGCAAAAAAGCUGUUUUGGUAUCGACCAAAGGUAAUUAAUUAAGUAGUACUAGCUAGCUACCAUCACUUUAAUUCUUGUUUCAAUACCAUUAAUUAAUUAUCAUGCUUGAUUAAUCAUUAUCUGAUUCAAUUCCAUUCUCGUAAAGGCCCUGAAGCAGGCGUCGGGGAAUGAUCUGUGUGCAUUUUACGUUUGCGAGAACAUUCGCAUGAUGGUGUCCGAAAGGAGCAGAUCUCAAAGAUAGGACUGGGUACGUUUGUCAUAACACUAUUCACACCAUUAUCGAUAUCUUGUCACACAACUAAUACACAUAUUGAUCUCCUUCUUAAUAGUUCAGAGAGGUGCGGGAGCAGCUCCUACCAGCGGAGCGCAUACUUGCACUUCAAUAGUAAAUAGCGGGAUUUUUGCUCGACCAGGUCAUAGAUCCCAAAGGAGAAUACUAUUACCCGCUACCGCCCCCAUGAACCACUUGUCAUCGUGCUCCGAAGGCACCAAGGCAACAUGUAGGAGAAAUUGUAUAUGUAUAUACAUGUGUAUGUGUGAAUAAUUAAUGGUGUUGGUUGUGAGACAUUCGAUGAUAUAUAUAUAUAUAUAUAUAUAUAUAUAUAUAUAUAUAUAUAUAUAUAUAUAUAUAUAUAUAUAUAUAUAUGCGGUUCUACGUACGAGAAAAUCUAUUUAUAUAUAUGCAUAACGUGUACAAUUUGUAGUAUCGUAAAAUACCAGCAAACAAAAGAGAAUUAAAUGGAAAACACAAAAUUAAUGGGAAAAAACCAACCCCCCCCAAAACAUUUAGUACCGGUUGAUAACAUUUAGUACCGGGUAGCAUUCCGAUACUAAUGGUCUACCAGCACCCGGGCCUGGCCCGUGCCACGUGGUGGCACUUUAGCGCCGGUUCGUGCCGAACCGGUAGUAAAGGGGGGGGGGCUUUAGUCUCCACUCUUUAGUGCCAGUUGUAGAACCGGCACUAAAGGCCCUCACGAACCGGCGCUAAAGCCCGUUUCGGCACUAGUGAUCUUUUAGUUAUAGUUGACCUAUGAAACUUUUGUUGUUGUAUGUAUGCUCAUGUUUAGCUUCUUUAUUCUUUGCUUUUUUUUCUGGAACACCUCGUCUAUACUAUUUAUUUGAAAAUUAAAAUAUAUAAGCAACAGAGUCUUUUUGUUUCCCCAAAAAAGUUUCUUGCCCUCACAUGUAUAUAUACUUGCCCAGGAGGCUCAAUACUAUACACAAAGCAUUACGACAAUUCUCUCAUCUCUAAUCCUCUUAGAUGGUAUCAACCAUAAGUUCCAAGACCUAGCUCCAGAAUGCUACCCGGCAAGCCAGAAUGCUAGCUGUUUUUGUCAUACUAUGUUGAUGUUGAUACUAUGAGAGUGGUUUCAGUCCGUCAGAAAAGUUUUGUAAGUUAUCUUGUAUUGGAUGAUCUGUGGACAAUAAUUUGUGAUUGUGGUGAAAGCCUUAAAGUAUCAUAAAUAAUGGCAAAACUUAUCUCAAGCUUGCUAAAUGUUGUGGCCUCGAAAACACAGAUCGAAAAACGAUGACACAUGUAGCUACUGCCAUAUUAUUCCUACUAGCAAUAGUAACAUUAAUGAAUACAUUGGCCAGGCUGAUUUAUCUUCUUAGAAUGAGCCCUGCGGCUGUGGGGGUAGUGUGUGUCGUGCACAUACCCUACGAAGAGGAGAAAGCCGGAGGGACUCACCCUUUCUUUUUCAGGUGAAAGGAAAGAAACAAGGGCGGGUAGCUUUGAAUCCACGGCAUAUAUAGCGAGGCCUGCUACCCUAGCCUGGAUUCUGAUUCCCAUCUCCAGCAACUUGUUGAGAGAAUUGAAUCCGGAUACCAGAGCUUUUGGGCUCAAAUUUGGAAUAUGGCCAGCCGAUGAUGCAGUGAUACGGAAUCCAGUCCGAUCCAAGGCUACUACUAGAACCAAUCCGAUCCAGUACUUGGCAUCCAUAUAAGCAGCUGGCAAAGAAGAAGAUUAUGUACUAUAUACCACUAGUAGAAAAGGGGGCAAAGGUCCAGGCCGGGUCUGCCCAUUAGCCCCAGUUCAGUCCAGAACCGGGACCCAUGGGGACAUUGGACCCGGUUCGUGAGCCCCGGGGGCCGUCCGGGCCACGUGGGCCAUUGGUCCCGGUUCGUCUGGACCUUUUGGUCCCGGUUGGUGGGACGAACCGGGACCAAUGGGCCUCGCUCCUGGCCCACCACCAUUGGUCCUAGUUGGUGGCUUGAACCGGGACCAAAGGCUGCCCUUUAGUCCCGGUUCAUGCCACCAACCGGGACCAAUGAGGUGCCUAUAUAUACCCCCUCGCGUAAGAGCAGGGCACACUGCUCUGUUUUUUCUGGCCGCCGAGGGGGAGAGGGCUUGGUGGUGCUCUAGCUCACCUCCUAUGCACACAAGGUGUUCGAUGGAAUGCCCGAGCCACACUACUUAAGCUUUCUCCUCUCCAAGCUCCAUUUUUCUCAAUAUUUGUCUAGGUUUAGCGGUCCGUCACGCCCCGUCCCUGUCUUCACCGCCGUCGAUCACCCACGCCGAUCUCAUCGCCGGCACCACCAUGGUGAGCCUCUUGUUCUUAUCUUCUUUCUGAAAGGAAAAAUAUUCAUACUUGUAUGUUUAGAUAGAUACUUGUAUUAUUUUCUUACUUUUAUUAUUGCAUCUUAUAUAGUGCGAUGGUUUUGGUAUCCGCCCCCGUCGGCUCUCGUCCUGUCUAUGAUUCGAAUGUGGUAUAUAUUAUCUUUAUAACUAUUGGUUCAUUUAUUGUUUAUGAAAAUUAUGCCGACCAACGUGACAUAGAUUUUAUUUAUCUAGGAGGUAUGUGAACCGGAAAUUCCAACCGACCCUAUUGUCGAGAGGUUAAAUUUAGUUGAAGAAGAAAACAAUUUCUUGAAGGAAAAAAUAAAAAAAAAAUUAGGAGGAGAAGAUGAUAUUGGAGUUGCAUGUUGCGGAUGUCGUCGAUGAUCACAAGAUCAAGAUGGAUGCAAUGCGCUUGAAGAUUAGAAAGGUUAGAAAAUAUGCCAUUCAUACCGAGGCUUGGUAUCAUUAUGCCGUUGGAUCAAUUGUUAGCUUGGUUGCGAUUAUGAUCGCAUUUGUUUUCGCAUUGAAAUGUUUUACAUAGUUUCAAUGUAUGGUUUAAUUAAUUAGAUGCUCUGGAGAGCUAUAUGUUGUUAGAUGAGAACUAUGUAUGUACUUUGGUUUUAAUGUGAUGAUGAACUUCUAUUAAUUUGGUCACUUAUUUAUCUAUUCAUGAUAUUUUGUAAUGGUUUUUGACACACUUAAUUAUAUAUAAUACACGCAGAUGAACCGGCAAUGGAUGUACGGUGACAGACACACCUCCGAGUACAUUAAGGGCGUGCAUGAGUUUCUCGAAGCCGCUGAGGCAAACAAGCAGAAUGGUUUUAUGUGUUGUCCAUGCAUUAAAUGUGGGAAUACGAUGUCUUACUCUAACCGGAAAAUCCUUCACACCCACCUGCUUUACAAGGAUUUCAUGCCACACUAUAAUGUUUGGAUGAGGCACGGAGAAAUAAGGGUUAUGAUGGAAGACGGCGAAGAAGAAGAGUACGACGACAACUAUGUGCCCCCUGAAUACGGUGAUGCUGCAACGGGGGGAGCUGGUGAAGAUCAAGAGGAACCAGACAAUGUGCCCGAUGAUGAUGAUCUCCGCCGGGUCAUUGUCGAUGCAAGGACGCAAUGCGAAAGUCAAAAGGAGAAGCUGAAGUUCGAUCAUAUGCUAGAGGAUCACAAAAAAGGGUUGUACCCCAAUUGCGAAGAUGGCAACACAAAGCUCGGUACCGUACUGGAAUUGCUGCAGUGGAAGGCAGAGAAUGCUGUGCCUGACAAAGGAUUUGAGAAGCUACUGAAAAUAUUGAAGAAGCUUCCAAAGGAUAACGAAUUGCCCGACAGUACAUACGCAGCAAAGAAGGUCGUAUGCCCUCUAGGAUUGGAGGUGCAGAAGAUACAUGCACGCCCUAAUGACUGCAUCCUCUACCGCGGUGCAUACAAGGAUCUGAACGCAUGCCCGGUAUGCGGUGCAUUGCGGUAUAAGAUCAGACGAGAUGACCCUGGUGAUGUUGAUGGCGAGCCCCCCAGGAAGAGGCUUCCUGCAAAGGUGAUGUGGUAUGCUCCUAUAAUACCACGGUUGAAACGUCUAUUCAGAAACAGAGAGCAUGCCAAGUUGAUGCGAUGGCACAGUGAGGACCGUAAGAAAGACGGGAAGUUGAGAGCACCCGCUGAUGGGUCGCAAUGGAGAAAAAUCGAGAGAAAUUACUAAGAUGAGUUUGCAAAGGACCCACGGAACGUAUGGUUUGCUUUAAGCACGGAUGGCAUUAAUCCUUUCGGGGAGCAGAGCAGCAAUCACAGCACCUGGCACGUGACUCUAUGUAUGUAUAACCUUCCUCCUUGGAUGUGCAUGAAGCGGAAGUUCAUUAUGAUGCCAGUUCUCAUCCAAGGCCCUACGCAACCCGGCAACGACAUUGAUGUGUACCUAAGGCCAUUAGUUGAAGAACUUUUACAGCAGUGGAAUGGAAAUGGUGUACGUACGUGGGAUGAGCACAGACAGGAAGAAUUUAACCUAAAGGCGUUGUUGUUCGUGACCAUCAACGAUUGGCCCGCUCUCAGUAACCUUUCAGGACAGGCAAACAAGGGAUACCACGCAUGCAUGCACUUUUUAGAUGACACUGAAAGUAUAUACCUGAACAAAUGUAGGAAAAAUGUGUACCUGGGCGAUCGUCGAUUUCUUCCGACCAACCAUCAAUGUCGAAAGAAAGGCAAGCAUUUCAAAGGUGAGGAAGAUCACCGGAAGAAGCCCGCCAUGCGUACCGGUGAUCACGUACUUGCUAUGGUCAAUGAUUUACACGUAAUUUUUGGAAAGGGCCCCGGCGGACUAGCUGUUCCGAAUGACGCUGAGAAACACGAACCCAUGUGGAAGAAGAAAUCUAUAUUUUGGGACCUACCCUACUGGAAAGACCUAGAGGUCCGCUCUUCGAUCGACGUGAUGCACGUGACGAAGAACCUUUGCGUGAACCUGCUAGGCUUCUUGGGCGUGUAUGGGAAGACAAAAGAUACACCUAAGGCACGGGAGGACCUGCAACGCUUGCACGAAAAAGACGGCAUGCCUCCGAAGCACUAUGAAGGUCCUGCCAGCUACGCUCUUACGAAAGAAGAGAAAGAAAUCUUCUUUGAAUGCCUGCUCAGUAUGAAGGUCCCGACUGGCUUCUCAUCGAAUAUAAAGGGAAUAAUAAAUAUGCCAGAGAAAAGUUCCAGAACCUAAAGUCUCAUGACUGCCACGUGAUGAUGACGCAACUGCUUCCGGUUGCAUUGAGGGGGCUUCUACUGGAAAACGUCCGAUUAGCCAUUGUGAAGCUAUGUGCAUUCCUCAAUGCAAUAUCUCAGAAGGUGAUCGAUCCAGAAAUCGUACCAACGCUAAGGAGUGAAGUGGCGCAAUGUCUUGUCAGUUUCGAGCUGGUGUUCCCACCAUCCUUCUUCAAUAUCAUGACGCACGUCCUAGUUCAUCUAGUCGACGAGAUUGUCAUUCUGGGGCCCGUAUUUCUACACAAUAUGUUCCCCUUUGAGAGGUUCAUGGGAGUCCUAAAAAAAUAUGUCCGUAACCGCGCUAGGCCAAAGGGAAGCAUCUCCAUGGGCCAUCAAACAAAGGAUGUCAUUGGGUUUUGUGUUGACUUUAUUCCUGGCCUUAAGAAGAUAGGUCUCCCUAAAUCGCGGUAUGAGGGGAGACUGACUGGAAAAGGCACGCUUGGAAGGGACUCAAUAAUAUGCAGGGACGGAUAUUCUUGGUCUCAAGCACACUACACAGUUCUACAGAACUCUACCUUGGUGACGCCGUAUGUCGAUGAACACAAGUACAGUCUGCGCUCCAAUCACCCGGAGCAGUGUGACGACUGGAUUACAUGUGAACACAUCAGGACUUUCAGCAGUUGGUUGGAAACACGUCUCAGAGGUGACAAGAAUAUUUGUGAUGAGUUGUACUUGUUGUCCAGGGGACCAUCUUUGACUGUAUUGAUUUACAAAGGAACGAGAUAAAUGGGAAUACAUUUUACACGAUUGACCAAGAUCAAAAGAGCACCAACCAAAAUAGCGGUGUCCGCUUUGAUGCAGCAACCGAGAGGGGAAAAGACACAUAUUAUGGUUACAUAGUGGACAUAUGGGAACUUGACUAUGGACAUGAUUUUAAGGUCCCUUUGUUUAAGUGCAAAUGGGUCAAUCUGUCAGGAGGCGGGGUACAGGUAGACCCACAGUACGGAAUGACAACACUGGAUCUGAAAAAUCCUGGGUACACUGACGAACCGUUCGUCCUAGCCAAUGAUGUGGCACAUGUUAUCUAUGUGAAGGACAUGUCUACCAGACCGAGAAAAAGAAAAUAUAAGGAAGCGAAUACAUCAUACGAUGAGCCAAAGCGCCACAUAGUUCUUUCAGGAAAAGGGGACAUCGUGGGAGUGGAGGGCAAGACAGACAUGUCUUAAGAUUAUGAAAAGUUUCAUGAAAUUCCUCCCUUCAAAGUCAAGGCUGACCCAAGCAUCCUGAUAAACGAUGAAGAUUAUCCAUGGUUACGGAGCAAUAAGCAAAUGACACAAGCGAAGAAAAAGUGAAGACUUUCUCCUGCAACUAUUAUGAUGAUACCAUUGUCCGUUUUAUACAUGCACAUGCUAUGUGGGUGAAAUUAUGAUACCAUGCCAACUUUCAACUUUUUCAGAGUUCAUUUGAAAUGCUUUAAUGUCUUAUGGUUCGGCCCUCGUAAUACCAUUAAUCCCGGUUCACUCCUUGUCAACUAUGUUCUCACUAAGAACACUCUCAAGAGGGCAGCCACGUGGGCCAUUGGUCCCAGUUCGUCUGGACCUUUUGGUCCCGGUUCCACGCACGAACCGGAACCAAUGCGCCUCGCCCCUGGCCCAUGACCAUUAGUCCCGGUUUGUGCCACAAACUGAGACUAAAGGGUUGGUCCUCGUUGCACUCAGAGUUUAGUCCCACCUCGCCAACCGAAGAGCGCUCACACCGGUUUAUAAGCCCGUCCCUCUCUGCCUUGUUGAGCUCCUCUCAAAGUGAAAAUAGAUGCCCCUAUACAUGGAAUUUGACCUAAAUUCAUAGUGAAUUUCUCUGAAAUUCAUAGAAAUUUAUUACGAAUUUAGGUUGAAUUUUCUCUAUAGGCGCAUCUAUGUUCAUUUUUUUGUAAAGUUAAUCAGAAACUUGUGAUUCACACAAAUUUCAAAGAAUUCAAAUUUUAACUAUUCAAAUUUGAAAAUUAAUGACACCAACAGAAAGUUUAUACUUUUGCUAACCUAAAAGCAAAAAGAAUUAAAAAAUAAAGCAAAAAACAAAAGAAAAUAAAUAAUGCAGAAAACAAAACAAAAAAACUGGAAACAAAAUAAAAAUAGCAACAAUAAGUAUUUUGUUGUAAGUNNNNNNNNNNNNNNNNNNNNNNNNNNNNNNNNNNNNNNNNNNNNNNNNNNNNNNNNNNNNNNNNNNNNNNNNNNNNNNNNNNNNNNNNNNNNNNNNNNNNNNNNNNNNNNNNNNNNNNNNNNNNNNNNNNNNNNNNNNNNNNNNNNNNNNNNNNNNNNNNNNNNNNNNNNNNNNNNNNNNNNNNNNNNNNNNNNNNNNNNNNNNNNNNNNNNNNNNNNNNNNNNNNNNNNNNNNNNNNNNNNNNNNNNNNNNNNNNNNNNNNNNNNNNNNNNNNNNNNNNNNNNNNNNNNNNNNNNNNNNNNNNNNNNNNNNNNNNNNNNNNNNNNNNNNNNNNNNNNNNNNNNNNNNNNNNNNNNNNNNNNNNNNNNNNNNNNNNNNNNNNNNNNNNNNNNNNNNNNNAAAUAAAACAAGAAAGAAAACAAAAAAACAAAAAAAAGUGUUUUCAAAUUUGAAAACUAAUGGCACUAACAGAAAGUUUAUAACUUUUCUAAAACUAAAAGCAAAAAGAAUUAAAAAAGAAAGCAAAAAACAAAAGAAAAUAAAUAAUACAGAAACCAAAACAAAAAAACUGGAAAAAAAUAAAAAUAGCAACAAUAAGUAAAGAAAACAAAAAAACAAAAAAAGUGCCUCCUACUGGCCCCCCACGGCCUGAAUACGACUAGAAACCCUACCAUGGGCCAGGAUUCAGGCCCGUACACUACUAGAAAAAGGGCUAUAGAUAGGAUUGGCACUAAUGGCGCACCAGACAAGUGGUGCGCCAUUAGUGUUGAAACUACUAAUGGCGCAUCCAUGGGAAGUGCGCCAUUACUAGUUGUAACUAGUAAUGGCGCACCAGUCAGAAAGUGCGCCACUAAUGUUGUUUUUAUUAUUAUUAUUUUUAUUCCUUUUUCUGCAAAACUACUAAUGGCGCACUCACCCGCGGUGCGCCAUUAGCAUGUAUGUACUUAUGGCGCACCGAGGGGUGGUGCGCCAUUAGUAUUGUGGCGCCCCUACUUCGUACCGAUCCCCUCUCUCUCCCUCGCCCUCGUCCGCGAUCCCCUUCCCCGAUCUCCUCUCCCGACGCCACCGUCGCCCCGCCCCGACACCACCGUCGCCCCGCCGCCCUCGACGCCACCGUCGCCCCGCCCCGACACCACCGUCGCCCCGCCGCCCUCGACGCCACCGUCGCCCCGCCGCCCCGACACCACUGUCGCAUGAGAAGAGGGAGGGGGCAGAUGCAUGAGAAGGAGGACGACCAGGCGGCGACGCGCCCGCCCAAGUGUAACUAAUUCCUCUCUCUUCUUUGCAGGAUCUAAUCUCUCCCAUGGCGGUCGGCGGCGCUCUGGCCGUGGAGGCCUGCUCCUCAUGCUCCUCCUCUGGUAUGCCUCUUCGCCCCUGCCUCUCCUUCUCUCUUUUUUCCUCUCGCUCUAGGGUUAGGAUUCAAUCCUCUUUAAGAGAAAAAACAACCCAAGUGUAACUGAUUCCUCUCUCUUCUUUGCAGGAUCUAAUUCUUGAUUCUUGCGUCGGUCUGAACUGUGCGAUUUACGUUUCGUCAGAGGUGAGCCACUUUUUCCCCGCUUGCUUUCUACCUGUUCGAUGAAAUGCGGUCGUGCUUAGAAUCCUUUUUCUGUUUGGGGUUAAGAUAUGUCAUAUUCCCUUCUGCUCGUGCUGUUGUAUAUACUGUUUUUAGCAUUCUUGGUAGAAGAGUUUCCUUGUGGGUAGAAAGCUUGGUUGUGUCCUGAUUUAUGAACUGUUUUCUUCUAGGUCUGUUCUUGGGAUUCUAGUGCUGUUGAUCUCGUCAAGGGCCUCAUCUGCUUUCUUUCAUCUUGUGAAGGUGAUUAUUAUUAGUACUUUCCCUGCUAAUUGUUUACUGUUUCAAUACAUUUUGUUCCUCUAACAUAGUGUCUUUAGCGUUCUUGGUAGAACGGUUUUAUUGUGCAUGGAAUGUUUUAUCCUCUCACCUUAUACUAUUUAUUUGUGUGCUUACAUAUAUUCUUUCCUGCUUCGUAUUGUGUAAUUACUUCGUUUACCUAGAAUGUGUGCUCUGGUGUCCUUUGUUCUUCCAAUUUUGGAACUGUGGCAGCACAAUGUGCAUUGCUUCCGCCUUUUUACUUGUGUGAGAUCGACGGGAAUGGUCAUGUGCUUGCUGGUGUAGAGAUUGAUGUUCCUGGGGAUGGCCUUAUAGGUAAUAAACCUAGGUUUAUUUUAGAUUCAAAUCACUUAGCUUUUUUUGAGCCAUGGAACCUACAGUUUUACACUGCCAGAUUGAGACAUGGAAAUUCAUGAUGUACUUUGCGAGACCCCUGUCCGUUAGUGCCUCUUUGAUCGGCUCUGCUAUGGCAUUGGAUAAGCCUUUAGUAUAGUGAGCUUUGGUAGAAAAUGGUUCUGCCAUUCUUGAAUAGCACCUGUACUAAAACUGAAUAAUUAAAUGCAACCAACAUAGACUUUCCUGCUAUCUAUGAUUACUCAACAAGUUCUUUUAGUUUUAGUCUGACAUGGUAGGUAACACCAAUUGUUCAUAUCUAUCUUCUUUGACCAUACUACAUAUGCAUAGUACUGAUCAAUGGCAAUAAUCCUUAUAUGGCCUUUUUUAUGAGCGAUAAUCUAACAUUUAUAAAAUCAUCUUAGGAUUUCCUAAUGGAUCCUGUACACAUUCCACCAAGGGUUAUUUUGGAUGCUAUGCUGAACACACUCUAUAGCUCCCAAAAGCUGUGUACUACACCCAGCCUACAGGAGACAUUGGUAUAGAGACUGAUUGAGUAUUAUCCAUCUCUGCAGCACUUGCCAAAGAGCACUGUCAAGAGAUUUGUUUGUCAGUCUGAGUCAUCUUGCUACUUUUGCACGUUUAUUUGCAUAUGAAAUCACCAGAAUUUUCGCCAUGGCUCUGGUUCUUGACAUGGUGCUUAAAAGCACUCAUCCCAUCUUGAUUAUUUGCAUACAGUUUUUUGUUUUUGUUUUUACUGAUUCACUUGUAUCGACAUUUUUUUAUGUCCCUUUUUAUGACCAGCUUGGUCAUUUGGUCUGGAUGGAGUCAUUCAACUCGGAAAGAAAAAAGAAUUUGAGAAUGCUUUAUCUUUCAUGCAAUAGUUGCGGUCAAUUGUUCUUGGUUUUUCCUGUAGUAGUUGAUAAUCAGUCUGAACAAUAGUAGAUUAGUAAAGCCAAUAGCAGUUAAUUUGAGACGACUUUUAUCUUCCCUACAGUAGUUAAGGUUGAUUGUUCUUAGUUUUCCCUGUAGUGUUUAAUUUGAUUGUUCUGAGCAUUCAAAUUGUACUCUGUUUGUUUCUCUCCUACUCUUUUCUGACAAAUGUUAUUAUCUGUGCUUCAUUACUACUCUCUCUAAAUCAUGUGAGAGUUGAAUGAUGUUGCAGGAUAACUAUUGAUGGUGAAAAGAUUGUUGUUUUUUAUACUGGUAUAGGGGGGGUAUAAUACAAAUGGUCCUUCAAAUCCAGUUGGAAGCUCCUCCCUGUAAUUGAUGAAGGCAGGAUUUACUAUUUCUAGGGAGUAAGAGGUUUAUUUGUUGAACCAUGAUAUCUAAGGGAGUAAGAGGCAACGUCCAGGUUGGUACAUAAUGGUUCUUAGUCUUUUGCUUUAUGACAUCGAAUGAACUUUGCAAUUCUAAGUGUCUAUCAUGUCCUGCAUAGUUUUUUAUUUUGUGUAAGCUGAGAGUAUUCAUAGUUCCAUUUUCCUAUUUUUGGCAGGGGUAUCUAAGAGAGCUGGUCCAGGCUUGAUGGAAAUCGCUUAGUACAUUCAUGGGAUCACAAACUUUUGGCAUUGGUUGAGAUUAGUGACGCAGGACCAUUAAUAACUAGAAGACUGUGACAAUUAACUUACUGUUUCAUGAAUUAGAGAGGCUGGGUUGGACCAACUCCAUGUUACAGGCCCUUUCCUCAUUGCAUUUCUCUUGACAUUAAAUUGAUUAAAUUAUAAUUUCAGUAGGAAAUCUACAACAUACUCAGAUCAUUAUGAUUACUCUUUGCUGUUUUUGUUUCUAUAUCUAAUUGAUAUAUAGAUUUUGCAUCUUGUCCUAUGACAUGUACUUCUGUAGUUGUGUCCAUUGGACUUACUCUUUUCAUUGUGGCAUCAUGAUUCCUCCUUUUCUUGGCUUGCUAUAUAUGUUUGUUUCAUGGUCCAGUUGGUGUUCCAAAAAUAUGCUCAAUUGUUAUAUGUAUCAAAUACAGUCUCUCCCAGUGGUGUACCAUCUGCUUAUUGUUUUACAUACAGUCGCUUGAUUAUUUUUGUUCCUCUAUAGGCCUCUGGUCCUGUCUGCAGUGUACGGCUAGGUUGUUCGUCCGCCUAGGUCGUAGGUUCUUUCCUUCCUGUUGACGGCAGGUACAAGACUCGAGCAAUGGUUAACGGGCAAGCACUAUAUACACCAUUCAUCUAUGCUAAUAUAGCCUAUCUUUUAAAGCCAAUGUAUGCUAUCACCAAUUGAUCGGAAUAUUUUCUUUCAAGCAUAGCUUUCAUGUAAUGGAAUAUAAGUAUCUUUAUAAGUUGAUUCUAAAUCAAUCUCAUACACAUACUUUGAAUGCUUGGCUCGCUCUCGCUUUUUGCGCCAUGGUCAAGGGUGCAACGAUGACUCUGUCUAAUGUUUAUCACUUCAUAGCGCCUAUAUGUGACUAUCUACUUUGUUUGCUAAUAACAUUGUAAAUAAUUAAUCGUAAGCUUCUUAGAACACUAUGUAUCAUUACUAAGUAUCUAUCUACCAGCAAUAAGUACUUAUUUUCAUAUGUUUCAAUAUGUGUCUGAAUAAUAUUAAUGUACACUCUUUCAAUACAUGGCUUACUCUCGGCCUUUGCGCCAUUGGCGCAACUGGUCAUCUAGUUGUAUUCAAAGACUAAUCUUCUAUUGUAUUCGAUGAAUCUGUUGUUGAUGUGUGUUGUCUAUAUUUUGUCAAAUUAUACAUUUUGUAACCUGUGCAAAAAACAGAAAAUAAUAAUAAAAAAAAAACUUAAUAUUCAUACUAAUGGCGUAUCACAUGACAGUGCGCCAUUAGUAUGACAAAGCAUACUAAUGGCGCAUCACUGGACAGUGCGCCAUUAGUAUGCCGCGGUUACUAAUGGCGCAUCCCGUGGUCGUGCGCCAUUAGUAUGCCAAAGCACCUGGGUAUACAUGGCCCCUGGGAGGCAUACUAAUGGCGCACCGUGGCCUAUACUAAUGGUGCACCAGUGGUGCGCCAUUAGUAUACCAGAUACUAAUGGCGCACCACUGGUGCGCCAUUAAUAAAAAUUACUAAUGGCGUGCUAGUAAUGGCGCACCAGUGAUGCGCCAUUAAUGGCCAAAUUAGGUGCGCCAUUGGUAGCGGUUUUUCUAGUAGUGGUAGGAGGCCUAGUAGGGAGAUAAGUGACUUUAGGCCCGUAAGCCUGCAUUUGAGAGGAGCUCGAAGUGGUCAGCGCAGCAGCGCUUAUAAACCACUGUCGAGCCCUCUCGGCUAGGGAGGUGGGACUAGACAUCCCACCGCAGCGCGCCAGUUCCAGCACAAGGCCUUUGGUCCCGGUUGAUGCCAUCAACCGGGACUAAAGGGGUGCAUUGGUACCGGUUCGUGGCACAAACCGGAACCAAUGCCCCCCUUUAGUCCCGGUUGGUGCCACCAACCGGGACCAAAGGCCGCCGCUUCCCGCCCUUUGACCAAAGGCCGCCGCUUCCCGCCCUUUGGGNNNNNNNNNNNNNNNNNNNNNNNNNNNNNNNNNNNNNNNNNNNNNNNNNNNNNNNNNNNNNNNNNNNNNNNNNNNNNNNNNNNNNNNNNNNNNNNNNNNNNNNNNNNNNNNNNNNNNNNNNNNNNNNNNNNNNNNNNNNNNNNNNNNNNNNNNNNNNNNNNNNNNNNNNNNNNNNNNNNNNNNNNNNNNNNNNNNNNNNNNNNNNNNNNNNNNNNNNNNNNNNNNNNNNNNNNNNNNNNNNNNNNNNNNNNNNNNNNNNNNNNNNNNNNNNNNNNNNNNNNNNNNNNNNNNNNNNNNNNNNNNNNNNNNNNNNNNNNNNNNNNNNNNNNNNNNNNNNNNNNNNNNNNNNNNNNNNNNNNNNNNNNNNNNNNNNNNNNNNNNNNNNNNNNNNNNNNNNNNNNNNNNNNNNNNNNNNNNNNNNNNNNNNNNNNNNNNNNNNNNNNNNNNNNNNNNNNNNNNNNNNNNNNNNNNNNNNNNNNNNNNNNNNNNNNNNNNNNNNNNNNNNNNNNNNNNNNNNNNNNNNNNNNNNNNNNNNNNNNNNNNNNNNNNNNNNNNNNNNNNNNNNNNNNNNNNNNNNNNNNNNNNNNNNNNNNNNNNNNNNNNNNNNNNNNNNNNNNNNNNNNNNNNNNNNNNNNNNNNNNNNNNNNNNNNNNNNNNNNNNNNNNNNNNNNNNNNNNNNNNNNNNNNNNNNNNNNNNNNNNNNNNNNNNNNNNNNNNNNNNNNNNNNNNAAGAGCAGAAGGAGAGAAGGAGAGGAGAGGAGAAGCAGAGAAGAGCAGAAGGAGAGGAGAGGCAAAAUUUCGGAAUUUUUGGAGUGGUUUAGAAUAUGUUUUCAGAAAGUAAUUUGAAUCUGAUUCAAAUUUCAUUUGAAUGAAAUUUGAAAAUUUUGAACUAUGGAUCAGAAGGUUUUUGGUGAAAUGGAGUGUGGGUACUUUCAUGAAGUUAGGGUAAUUUUUCUGGUUGUAAAAGAGUUAAGAAAAUUUAGAAUAUGCUAAAUAUGUCAAAAAUGUUUUUUUGUUCGUAGAAAGUUUUUUGUUCAUAUAUUGAAAGUUUUAUAUAUGACUAUGGAUAUAUGAGCAAUGAUGAUCCAUGGAUGUAUGCAUUGAUAUAUAUGAGAAAUGAUGUUCAUAGAAUAUUUACCAAGUAUAUAUGUAUUUUUCUCAUAUAUGUAUUUUUUUCAUAGCAUUUUUUCCAUUUAUAUGUGUAUGUGGCUAUAGAUGGAUAUAUAUGAGAAAUGAUGAUCCAUGGAUGAUGCAUUUUUUUCCAAUGAUGAUCCAUAGAUGGAUGUAUGUAUGUAUAGAUGUAUGUAUGUGGAUACAUGAGGGGGGUCGAUAUACCCCCUCUCCGAUAGCAUUUCCUUCUUCAUAUGUUGAGUUAGUUGAUUUAGGUUAGUGCAUUUUAGGUUAGUUGAUUAAUAGUGAAUUUUAGGUUAGUUGUUGUUAGUGCAUUUUAGGUUAGUAAAUUUUAGGUUAGUCUAUUUCUUCUUCUUCGAGCAUUUUUGUGCAUUUUAGGUUAGUAAAUUUUUUCUGUUGUAAUUUAGUUCGAUGAAUGUUUUCUGUUAAAACUCGUAUUAAGUUUGUUCGAUGAAUGUUUCAUGGGAGGGAGGGAGUAAAAACUCAUCAGACAUGAGGGGAAGGAGUCCCCCUNNNNNNNNNNNNNNNNNNNNNNNNNNNNNNNNNNNNNNNNNNNNNNNNNNNNNNNNNNNNNNNNNNNNNNNNNNNNNNNNNNNNNNNNNNNNNNNNNNNNNNNNNNNNNNNNNNNNNNNNNNNNNNNNNNNNNNNNNNNNNNNNNNNNNNNNNNNNNNNNNNNNNNNNNNNNNNNNNNNNNNNNNNNNNNNNNNNNNNNNNNNNNNNNNNNNNNNNNNNNNNNNNNNNNNNNNNNNNNNNNNNNNNNNNNNNNNNNNNNNNNNNNNNNNNNNNNNNNNNNNNNNNNNNNNNNNNNNNNNNNNNNNNNNNNNNNNNNNNNNNNNNNNNNNNNNNNNNNNNNNNNNNNNNNNNNNNNNNNNNNNNNNNNNNNNNNNNNNNNNNNNNNNNNNNNNNNNNNNNNNNNNNNNNNNNNNNNNNNNNNNNNNNNNNNNNNNNNNNNNNNNNNNNNNNNNNNNNNNNNNNNNNNNNNNNNNNNNNNNNNNNNNNNNNNNNNNNNNNNNNNNNNNNNNNNNNNNNGAUAUACCCCCUCCCCGAUAACAUUAUUUUCCCGUGUAUGUAUCUCGUAGUUGUCGAUAUUACCCCCUUGAAGCGUUGUCGAGGCCACCCCAAACCCUAGAGAAGCAGCGUCGAGGCCACUAAUUAAUAUGAUUCCUUACUGUGACUAGCUAGCUAGUUCUACGUUUGCCACUAGCUCAUAUAUCCAUCUGUCAUGUUUGAAUAAUAAUUGCCAUGUUGUGAAAAUUUGUAGAAAUUAUGGACACCCCCCGAGACGAAGCACAAGAAGCGUUGUUGGGGGACAUAAUCGCACAAGGAAGUGAUGCCGUUUGCUCGUUGUUUCUCAACGACACCGAUGGUCUAGAAGGAGAGGGUGAAGAAGCAGCUGGCUAUGAUUAUGAUGGCUCCGGUGACCCAAUGCCGGUGCAACAAGGAGACGUGAGGACGGCUCCGGUGACCCAAUGACGGUGCAAGGAGACCGUGAUGACGGCUACGGUGACCGAACCGAGUCCGGCCAGGUAUAUAUAUUAGUUAAGCCUGUGCUGACUAGCUAAUUGAUGCAUUCAUUGUUUUGGUAUGUACACAUAUUAAUUAACUCUCGUCUUUUUUCUUUUUUCUAGCCCUCCGGAUCGAGCACAACUUCGGUAAAGAGACGGGGCCCGAAGAAAAGGUUGAGCUCGGAUGAAAGGUUUGAGGUCAUAGCAAUCGCGCGCGACGGCCAACCGAUUGAACCCAUCCGGACAAAGAAUGCAUUUGUUGCUCAGUGCGGGGUUCUGGUUAGGGACAAGAUCCCGAUCGGCAUCCACCAAUGGUAUAAGCCUAAGAACGAAGACCCUGAGGUGUCUUAUGUCAAUGAUAUGCAGAAAAAUGAUCUUUGGACUGAGGUGAAGUCAAAUUUCACCCUACCGCUAGAGGAUGAUCCGGAGAAGCCAGUUAAAGAGCAAUUAAUCAUGUCUUUUGCUCUUAAGAAGAUGGCAGACCUAUUCAGGAGGUGGAAGAAACACCUAAAUACGUUUCUCGACAAAAAAGAGACACCAGAAUUCAAGGGCAAAUAUGAGAAGAUCAGAGAUCACUGGCCCGCAUUUGUGGCCCACAAGACAUCGGAAAAGAGUAAGAAGAUGUCGGCGACAAACAAGCAAAAUGCUGCGAAGAAGAAGCUUCACCAUCGCAUGGGGUCAGGUGGCUACCUCAAAGCCCGGCCUAAGUGGGCCAAGGCUGAGAAUGAUCUGGUUGAUAAAGGGAUCGGACCAGAGACAAUGAACUGGCCAGACCGUUGCCGGACUUGGUUCUUCGGGGCUGGCGGAACCUUGGACCCUGUAUCAGGGAAGUGCAUUUGGACGGACGAGCAAUUGGAAAUACCAGUCAAGAGGCUUCGACACUAUAUCGAUGCAGCGCAGCAAGAGACGUUUCUUCCAGACAGAGAGAACGACGAGCUCACAAUGGCCCUCGGGAAUCCUGAGCACCCUGGACGGACCCGAGGCACGCCAGGCUCCGUUCCAUGGAAUGCUGGUUUUCCGGACGCAGGCGGUUACAAAUGCCAGGAGAGGAGGAAAAAAGUGCAGCAGACCGAACUGCAGGCGCUGCACGCAAGGGUACAAGCGAUAGAGGAACGAGAAGCAAAUCGCAGCAAACGAACUGCCGAAGCUUCCCCCGAAGCUACCCCGCCAUCUCAGCGGAGAAGCAGCGUGGCUUCCACCGAGCUGCUUCAGCCGGAGCAUGUCUUGACGGCUCCUGCCAGCUAUCCCGUGGAUGCUAUCACGGAGUCUCAAAAUUGCCACAUUAUGACGCAAUGGAUGAAUUUGAAGGUCAAGGCGGGUGUUGGCUCUGUUUAUCCUACUGAACCCGGCGCAACUUUUCACUGUCGGACGAUUCCAGAAGGAUAUGCUAGGGUGAUGGUGGAUGAAAUAACGGAGGGAUUUGAGGACCUCCAGCUUGACCACCCUACCGGUGAAGGGGAGACUAGGCUGGGUUCUGCUCUGAAGACUCCAUGCCUAUGGCGGAAGGAGCUCAUCAACCUUCCGAACUGGACGCCUCCGCCUCCUCCUCCUCCUCCGGCGAGUCAGGGCACUCCGCCACGUCCAUCGCCUCCUCCUCCGACGAGUGACGAUCAGGACACUCGGCCUCCUUCUCCGGCGCGUGACGGCACUCCGCCUCCUUCUCCGCCUGCGCCGGCGCGCCCGAGCAGCCAGCAGCCUCCUCCUUCUCCUCCUCGCCAGCAAGGGCAGAAGAGACCCGCCGCCGCCCCGGCUGCUCCGGCACGUCGUAGUCCUUCUCCUCCACCUCGUAAGCAAGCACGAAAGAAGACAGCCGCAGCCGCUCCGUCUGCUCCGGCGUCUAGCAGUACAGCCAUAGGCAGGAGGCAAUACAGAUAGGGUCCACCUCUCAAGCCUCUAGAGAAGUUACCGUACGAGAGGAUCGAGGAGGAAAACGCGAAGAUCGUGCGGACCGAAGUGAAGGACUUCUUUGAAGGGUUGAAAGCGCAGAGACAUCCACCUCCGGAGGAGAAGGUAGAUCCGGUGAAAGCAAAGCGCACUAUCGAUGCCAUGAGGAAACCACCAAAGUCUCAACCGAAAACCAACUAUGAGCGCAUUACUCAAAGGCAUAUCAAGAAGCGUCGCGGUCGGGAACUACUGUCAGUGAUCAAAGGUUGAAAGAACGACGAGCAGCUGGGAAAAAAUUGCCCAGCUCGGCGAACAAGCGAACCAAUCGUGCCCCCCGCUCAAUGUGUCUAGCGACAUCGUCGCUAAUGCUCCGGGGACGGUGCCCAGUUAUAGCAAUCUUGCAGAUUACCUGCCUGACGAUGUAAAUUUUGAUUUCAUGGAGGUGGACGAACACAGAUACGAGUACGGGAAGCCUCUCGUCAAAGAUGAAAAAUCUCUAACAACGAUGAUGCGAAGAUUCCAUAAUUGGUACAUGAAAACCUGCAGAGAGUCUGGGGGAACGAAUACUUUGUAUCUGAGAAUUAAAGAGGAUCACGACCUCAUUGAAACUGAUCUGUUGACUGUUCCAUUUGAGGAGUUCUUCGAGUUCUUCAAUCAAAAGGCCCUCGAUAAAUUAACGGUCUUUUGCUACUGUCUGUGAGUACUAUUUCUGUCAUUAAGUCUCUAUAUAUAGCUCAGCUCUUUCAUUGCAUGUAUUUAUAAUUAAUUAUCCUCACUAUAUUAUGCAGAUUAAAGAUCGCCGAGUGCAGAAAACAAGAAAUGUAUGAUAUUGGGUUGAUUAACACAAAUAUCAUAGAUGAAAUUCAGGUUAAAAAGCAUGCCGAAGAGGCUGAGGCCAACUUGCUACAAUCAUUGAUCAAAAAUCAAAACAAAGAUACCAUACUCUUUCCUUACAACUUCAAGUGAGUGCUACUGUCAUGUGCAUAUUCGGUUUCCCUUAUUACUCGAGCAAGGUUAUAGUAAUGUAAUUGAUGAGUUAUGCAUGCGUGAGCAGCUUCCACUAUGUUCUGCUGGAGAUUAAGCUUGAGCGGGGACUAGUAACCGUCUUAGACUCGAGACGAAAAGAUUCCGAAACCUAUGCGGACAUGACUAAAUUGCUCAACAAGUAAGUUCAAUCGAUCAUUAUCGCACCAUAUCGGCAACUUUUUGUUCAUUUCCUGAUAUCUCAAGUAAUAAUAAUUAUUUUCUUUGUCUUGCAGGGUUUGGAAACAGUUCACCACAGAAGCUCCGGGACUGCCGAAGGAGCUGCGAUAUACAUACCCGAAAAUAAGUACUACUAGCUAGCUAGUUGCGUGCAUCUCCCGAUGAUUCUAUAGCUAUACUUUCAUCAAUGCCAUUUAUAAUGCUUCAUUAUCAGUUUGAUUGACCUCUAUUUCUCGUAAAAUGCUUGUGGCAGGAACAAGGGAAUAAUUUCUGUGGAUACUACGUGUGCGAGUUCAUCUACAACGCGACUUUGAAAAAUAAGCGGGGCUACUGUAAAAGACAAUAUGAAGUGCGUAAGCAAUAAUAUUUACAAUUUCAUUUUAUUACACCAUCAUUUCUGUUGAGUUUCAUUCAUAUAUAUAUGUAUUAACCCCCUUCUUCAAAUUAGACGUGGCAGAUGCGGAAUGAACUCCUACCACAAGAUCGCAUGAAAGCAAUUCAAGAGGAAUUGGCGGGAUUCUUUCUUGACCACGUCAUCAAUAAAGCCGGAGAAUACAAUGUGGAAGUUGAUUUCAAAUGCUAGGGGAUUGUAAGAGAUCUUACAUAUUGUAUAUGUAUGUAGCCAGUAGCGUCGGAUAGAUAAUACGAAAACUUGUUGUUCGACCAAUCUCUCGGAGAAGGAGAGGUCGAUCGUUCACUUCUCUCGGUAUGCAUGACGAACUUCUGUACUUAAUGGUUUCCUUCAUUUUCUUACUAGCUAGCGUGUCGAGGGCCUCUCUAUGUAUAGUACGUAGCGUCGAUCAAGCACGGACAUAAGAAAUGACACUUCUUUCUAUUAAUUAGCUAGCUAACACAAUAUAUGAAACACCUAAAUUAACCCCCCAAAAUCCUCAAACACCCCCNNNNNNNNNNNNNNNNNNNNNNNNNNNNNNNNNNNNNNNNNNNNNNNNNNNNNNNNNNNNNNNNNNNNNNNNNNNNNNNNNNNNNNNNNNNNNNNNNNNNNNNNNNNNNNNNNNNNNNNNNNNNNNNNNNNNNNNNNNNNNNNNNNNNNNNNNNNNNNNNNNNNNNNNNNNNNNNNNNNNNNNNNNNNNNNNNNNNNNNNNNNNNNNNNNNNNNNNNNNNNNNNNNNNNNNNNNNNNNNNNNNNNNNNNNCCUAUUGGUCCCGGUUGGUGCCAUCAACCGGAACCAAAGGCCCUCCUGCGUGGGCUCGGCGCACCGGCCACGUGGAGGCCCAUCUGUCCCGGUUCUGGACUGAACCGGGACUAAAGGGCCAGGGCAUUAGUAACGACCCUUUAGUCCCGGUUCAGGAACUGGGACAAAAGGCCCUUACCAACCGGGACUAAUGGUGGUUUAUCUACUAGUGUACCGACUAAUGAUGGCUUAGACAGAGCCCAAAAGCAUUCCCACUUUGCUUCUUUUGUGAAGAUAGAUGAUAGAUGAUGUUUGUACUUACAAAUUCAGCGUGGUUGUUUUGCAAAAAAAAUAAAAAUAAAAUCAGGUGGCUUUUCUGAAAGACUAAAUAUAAGAAUCGAAACAUACAGUGUAGAUAGAAAGUUGGUUUCUCCGUACAAGCUAAUGUAAAUAUUGCGCACAAUGUGAGAUGCCUUUUAUGUUAUCUACCUUCUCACUUGGAGACAAUACUUUGUGGUCAAACUAAGGAUCUCCGAUUUUCCGGAGGCCGGCACUGAAUUAUAAUAUUGCAACAAGUUUAUAACAAAAUGUUCGCCCAAGAUCAAACUGCAGGCAAGGAGGGAAAGAUCUAUGUCGCCUGUUUCAGUGGGUACGGGUCACUGAUUUUGUUUUCCUCAAACACACCACGCCCACUAGGCUGUAGCGCGUCAUCAUUUUCGUCAAGAAGAAAGCGCUAAGAUAGUGCGGAUUGUAUGUAGGAUAAAGUUAUGUUUUACUAACGCACAUGAACUGUAUUGUGAUGGCCCGCCUUAGAGAAUACUGGCAAAACAUGCAAGAGCAAAUGCCUUCCUGUAGGAAGCAGAAAAACACCCAAAGAAAAUGACCGCAAAAACAUGCAUGUUACCAACUGAUUUUUUUUCUUUGCCAAAAAUAAAAGACAUACAUGCAGAUAUAAAGUUAGUUCUUGUGUACAAGAUAAGAUAUAAAUUCCACACAAUAUGUGAUGCCCCCUCCGCUCCUUUUAUCUACCGUUUCACUCGAGAGGGAUGACAUUCUAGUCACUCAAACUUGCCCAGAAGCAACACGUUCAAAACAAACCAAGCUUCAGUUUUCACUCCGCGGGAGUAAUUAGAAAUCCCAAAUAGCAUAUUUGAUUUUUUUUAAAUCAUAUAUCAGAUAUUGUCAUGUUUAAAAAUACAGGACCACGCUUGUGAUAACCUGCAAUUCUUGUCAUACUGCUAUUUGGGAGUUAAUAACCCAUCGGAAAGUAGUGGGAACCCUCGGGUGUACUAAACCCAAGUUAGCAAAAAAUUGAAAUUUUGUGGCAUCAAACUUUACCAUAUGUUCAAGGUUCUUGCAAAAGUUCAUCAAAAAAACGUCCAGGGGCUCUCAAGAAAAAAAAUCGCUGCUCAAAAAGUGCAAAAAACUUUGAGCAGCGAUUUUGUUAUUUUUGGUGAGACCUCCUCAGAUGUUAUUUUUGGAUGAAAUUCUGCAAAAAAAAAAAAAAAACUCAACAAAUUGACAAAGCUUGAUGUCAUAAAAUUUCAGAUUUUUUAUAUUUUGUUUGAUAACUGUUUUCAAUUUUUUUACUAACUCGGGUGGAGUACACCCGAGGGUAGAAAAUCCAGUCUCAUAACCCCUGCAUGCAUGACCGUGGAACAAUAGGAAAUACUUGCAGAAAUACUACAUGAAAUAAGUACGCAUUUUGCUGGUUUAUUUACACGGGCUAGCAUCUUCCUGAAAAGCAUUUUUGCUCCAAUUGUUCAAAAUUUGACGGGGAAUCCUGCAUCUUUCCCAUGGCUUUUACGCAGAUAUGAUUCCAGUGAAGAGAUCUCCGGUGGAUGGGUGAUGGACCGGUCCACACGCCCGCAAGAAUCAAACCCGACGCGAGUUGCGUCCGAUGCAAACCCGAGCCUCCUAUGACUCCUUGAGCAAGCAGCAAGCAAGGAGCCAGGAGCAGGAUGGAAUUUUGUCAAUCUCCUUUCCAAGCCCGUUGGAAACGGAAAGAUAGAUAUAUUCCUUCGGUCCCCGGACCCAGAGGUUGUUCAUCUCCCUCUUUGGAAUCUGUUGGUCGACCGGGUGGCGGAGAUCAUUUGUGCGACAUGUAAAGAAUGGAGACUCUAAGCUAAACCUAUUGAUGGACAACCCGGCCCGGAGAGCUGAACCCGAAGCCCGACAUUCGGCUGGGCUCGGGCUCCAUUUUCUCACUUGAAGCCUGGUCAAAAGCCCGAAUAAAGCACAAAAUGUUCAUAUAAAUAUUUUAUUCAAAAUAUAGUUAUAAAAAUUAAUAUAAUAUCCUGAAUAUGAAUGAUUUAAUAAAAAAUGUCACUGUCCAUGUGUUUCAGGCUGGGCUGGGCUCAGGCUUGGGAUUUUUUUCUUCCGGCUUUGCCAAGCUCGGCCCAAACCCGACCCAGCCCAUGGAAUGAUCAGGUUUACUCUAAGCCCACAUCCCUGCGCUUUUUCUAUCCCAAACGGAUGAAUGGUGCUCCCUAAACUAAUGCAUGGUCAUGAUAACCUGGCUCAUUCCCCAAAGAAACAACGCCAAGGCCAAUAACCUGGCUCAUUCCAAAUCCUCCUGAGAGGGUUUCGGACCUGCUACAGCCAGCCAGUGCAUCCUGGAAUGUGGGGCUGGUCCGCUCUUUAUUUUUACCCAUUGAUGCAGAGGCGAUCUUGCGGAUUCCGGUAUGUACUAGAAACACUGAAGAUUUCUGGUCGUGGGCACCGGACAGCAAAGGCAGAUUCUCGGUGAGCUCGGCGUAUAAAUUUAUGAUCAAAACAAAACUUCAGCGAGAGAGUUGGCUCGAGGGACGGAGUGGAACAUCAAACGAACAAGCUGAAGGAAAAACCUGGACAUCACUAUGGAACUUGACAGUGCCAUCCAAAGUGACUGUUCAUGUGGAGACUAGCAAGGCAUUCGCUUCCAACCACGGAUGUUCUACGCAAGCGAAACAUGGCCGUCCAAGAUGCAUGUCCCUUAUGCGGCUGCGGGGACUCUUGGAGGCAUGCGCUACUUUCAUGUACCAUGUCACGCUGUAUUUGGGCUCUCUCAGACCAUCAACUUGUGGCUCAGAUGACUUCCAAUGAAGAAACGAACGCCAAGCACUGGAUGUUCGAGAUGCAUGCUACACUAAGCCAUGACCUGUUCACAAGAAUGGUGGUAACAUUGUGGUCAGUUUGGUACGUUCGGCGGAAAGCAAUACAUGAGGCAAUAUUUCAGAGCCUGGUACAAACCAUCGCCUUUGUGGACUCCUGCUUACAUGAGCUGCAACAUCUACAAAGGCCGAAUGUGAGGUCUUCUGGAGUCGGCCGAUCUCCUCGACCCACAGAGGAAAGAUGGCUCGCGCCGCCCCAAGACUGUAUGAAGAUGAAUGUUGAUGGUGCGGUCGCUCGUCACAGAAGAGGAGGAGCAGUUUCGGCAAUAUGUAGAGACAGUCAAGGACUUUACCUUGGGUCCUCAUCGAUGGUGUAUCCUGGUGUGACUGACCCGGUGAUGCUCGAGACAUUCGCCUGCAGGGAAGCUCUAUCACUUGCGGAGGAUCUUAAUCUGCAUAAGAUCACGGUGGCGGGUGACAGUCAGGGAGUGAUUGAUGACAUCAACAAUGGGACGGGAGGACCCCAUGCUGCUAUAGUACAUGAAAUAAUAGGUCGUAAAAGUGGUUUUCAGUUUUGUAAUUUCAUUCAUGAGCGUAGAAACUAUAACUUUGAGGCUCAUAAGCUCGCCAAGUUCUCUUGUAACCUGCAAUUAGGUAGACAUGUGUGGUUGGGAACUCCUCAUGACCUAACAGUUGUACCUAUGAACAUUGCUUUGGAAUAAAAAGCUUGGCGAGUUCUUCUCAAAAAAAAAAAAACUAAUGCAUGGUCAAACAAAACACCGUGUGUGAAUUCCGAUACCCCUUUCUAAACAAUGCAAAAAUAUUUCUUUAGACGAUUUCUCUAUCACUUAUAAAAGAUUUCUCUAUCGCUGACUCACUGUUAGAAAAAAAAUCUAGGAUACUAUAUCGCCAAUAAUGUAAUAAAAGAUCCAGAGAUACUUCAUCCAUGCUUUAAUUCACAGUUUUUUGGGACAUAUGGUAGAACUACUUUUAGAUGAAAUGGUGAUUAGCUCAGAUAGGCCAUGAGGGUGCAUGCAUGACAUGCUUGGCGGUAGCAUCGGAUCAUAGGGGUUUCAGAAACUAAUGGAGAUGAGACGUUUUUGGGUAUGCGCACCUUGGCAGCUCUGUUCAGAAGAGCACGUAUCCUCCUCCUCCUCCUCUCCUGUGGGCGCCUUGCAGCCUACUGGCUGAUGUGCACGCUUUACGAGACUCUCUACCGACCCAUCAUCAACGUCAGGAUCACACGGCUGAGACAUUGCCAUGCAUGCAGAGAUGGAUGCUUCCGUUGGUGAUGUGAGCAGAGCACGCAGCCUGUAUCCAUGCUUGCUACGGCAGCUAGCAAUGUGUGCCAAAAAUGUUGAAUUUGGAACCAUGUAGAAGACGUGGCCAGGUAUGUAUUCGAAAAAUGAAUACCAAGAAAAAAGGAAUGGCGAUCGACGUACUGAACACGUGAAUUUAACACGGAACUUGAUUACGAAACAAGCACAAGUUCGACGCUGAAAAUUGUUCACAACAAAGCUGGCUUACAACGUGCCCAUGCCAUGGCGGAGAAGUUGAAACUUGGACACUACAAGAUGAGAUCUAGGCAUGUGAUCGAUGUGACCUUCUACUAAACUUGAGUUGAGGGGAGAGGCAAGCAACAUGUGCAAAGCUCCAAAGACAUGACAGGUUUCUACUUGGAGCAAGGCCAGCUACAGCUAGCUAGCUAGUGUAGUAACUGAGCUGAGCUGGAACCAAUGGCUUGAGAGUGCAUACAUCCAGAUUCCAGAGCACUUACUUUUUUUCUUUCCCCUUGUGAAACUGAUGAACACUCGCCGCACAUUUACAUGUGUCAUCGCCGGUGAGUGUCAUCGCCAGUGAGUGGUAACAGGCUAACUGCUGCCCUGGUGAAUGGAUGAACAGUUGUCAAAUGCAUGCAAACAAUUGGUGGAAGGAGAGGUCGCACCACAUUGCCAUAUGUCAGUGGCUGCGGUGCCACAUGCAUGCUGGCCACGCAGACCUGGGGUGCCCACACCCUGCCCAGGGUCACCUCCAUCUAUAGCUGACAGAAUAUAUAUGUUUUGAAGAUUUGAAAAAUUCUCAAAAAGAAUUAUAGGAUGUUGAAGAAAAGAGAUGGUUUUCGAUAGACAUGUAGAAUUUCAAGUUCAAGUUCAAAAACAGUACAGAUUCAUUUACAAGGCAUGGGAGAAACAAAUACAGUAUAAUGAAUAGUGAGGAAUAGCAAGCUAGGGCCAGAAUACGCACAGAAAAAAAAACAUUUCAAAAAAAAAAAGAUUUAAUUUCCCUCUGAGAUGCAGCUUAGCCAGGAAAUUACAUCAAGAAAUUAUUCAAGAAAAAAGAUAAAUAAAUCAAAUUGUCAUUUACAUCAAACCGUUUAGAUACGACGCAUUCAAGAGUUAUGAGUUAAUUCAGUUUAAGUUAAUGUGUGUAGUGUUGGAUACAACUCGAGAUGACGUCAGCAUGCGCGAAUGGACCCAAAAGGCUUAAUUGGUCAAACAGGCUGUCACUUAAAUUGUUCAUGUCUGAUACUGAUACCUAGCUCAGAAAACCUGCGAGAACCAACCUGGUUGUCCUCUCCUCAGCCACCUUUUAACACACAGCCAGAGAGAGACAUGGCACGCUCCCAGCCUCCCAGGGCCUAUAAAUAGCAGCCCUCAUAGCAAAGAGAGACACAAAACCAAACCACCAGUGCUUCUACAAGAGCAAGGGGCUUCCUCACUUCCAGGAGCUAGCCCCCCGAGUACACCACAUCUCACCUGAAGAUGUCUUCCGGGUCGUCGUCUCGGAGCACCUCCCCGAGCUCCGACUCGGAGUGGAGCAAGAAGGAGAACAAGAUGUUCGAGGAGGCGCUCGCCUACUACGGCGUGAGCGCCCCCAACCUCUGGGAGAAGGUGGCCAGCGCCAUGGGGGGCACCAAGUCCGCCGAGGAGGUGCGCCGCCACUUCCAGCUCCUCAUCGACGACGUCGACAACAUCGAGCACGGCCGCAUACCCUUCCCCAAGUACAAGACCCAGGGCUUCUGGACCUAAUAAAAGGUAUAAUGCUCAACAGACAUAGGAUGCUUUGCUUCUAACAAGUUUUCAGUUGAACAUAGUAAUAAAGCAUACCAAUUACUGCUGUAUUUGUCAGCUUGCUGGGACUGUGUCGUUAGCAUAGAUGCUUUAACUCAAAAGGCACAACAUGCAGGGUAUUUAUGUACUUUUGUUUUUCUUUACCACCAUGCAUGCAUGACGACUCGCACCAUGAACUAACUCUCUAUAAGCCAAACUGCUUAAUUGCAGCCACCCUAGCCCAAUUUAUCAGUGGUUUAAUCUUAGCACAAUCAGACAAAAAAAUUCCCUACUUCCAAAGAAAAAGCUAGGAAAAGUACAGUUUCUGGUGGUCUAGCUAGAACAAAACAAGUCUCUUCUGUUUGAGUAUUUGUGUUCAGAGUUCAGAUAUGCUUACAGCGCAAGUGUCUUCUCAUAUUUUCAGGAUCGAUGAAGCAGUGUAAGCCCGAGUGGACAGUGAACAAAGUGUACAAACUAGAUCUCUUAAGAAUGGGCCGAUGUUCUAAGAGGAAGCAAGGGUAUCCAGCAUUGGUUAGAAUAACAAGGAAGGAAUGGAGUAUUGUCUAUUGUGUGGACAAAGUAUUGUUAGGCCCUGUCCAAGGUUAAGUCUGUUAAUUAGAUUCUCGUCUACAUUCAUGAACUGCAUGUUGUUAAUUAUCCCGUGGAACCAAGUCGUCAAAUAAAAUGUCAUGUAAACUCAUGUGUUUGUGUUAUUUGUAAGAAGUUGUACCUGUAGCAAUUUGUCGUCUCCAAUAUCUGGUUUAGCUGGCCACCAUGUUCUGUUUGGACUCCACAGGUUCAGAAAGCACACCGAAUCCUUGUCACCGGCUCACCGCUACCUUCCUCCUUCCUAAAAGAGAAGUCGCUAAACUUUGUUCAAGAACCAAAGGAAAAAGCUCGCUUUGAAUCCCCAGCAUUGCGACCCUCACCAUGCCAGGGAGACCACCCUGGCCUAGAUUCCAAUUCGGUCCCUUACCACUUGACCGGCGAGGCAAAUCCACCUCCUCGCCGACGACGUCAACAACAUCAAGCACGGCCGCAUCCCCUUCCCCAAGUACAAGAACCACGGAUUCUAGACCUUGUAAAAGGUAUAAGUCUCAACGGACAUAGGAUACUCUGAUGUUAACAAAGUUUUUAGUUGAGCAUAAGCAUACCAGUUAUUGCUGUAUUUGUCUGCUUCCUGGGAAAAGCAUGCUAUGCAUGAGCAUGACUGUCGUUAGCAUAAAGAUGUUUUUUUAACUCUAAGGCAUAGCAUGCAGGGGUAUUUAUGUAUAUAUUUGUUUUCUUUAGGCGUCACUUACCACCAUACAUACAUGACGACUGGCACCAUCAACUCUAUGAGCCAAACUGCUUAGGGCAUGUACAAUGAUGCUAUCUUAGGUAUGACACGUAGGAUCGUUGAGGUCGAAAGGGGCGCUUUAUUACUUAAAAAGUUUAAGCAUUACACCCGGCCUCUGCAUAAUUAAGAUGCACACACAGCCAAAGAAAGUCCUCUUGCACAAACGAAAAACAAAAAGGCGAAAUACCAAGAAACAUGUAGAGAUAGUAUAACGCCUAAAGCGGAGGUGGACCAAUCCUAAGAUCAUGCUGCCACCCAUGUUGGGUAAAAGUAUCUCUCGCCGUAUCCUCCAAUCUUGUACACACCUUCGUAAACAGGUCUUGAUUCUCCACGCGUUGUAAAGAGGACCAUAAACGAAGAGUCCCAGUAUAUCUGUAGAUAACCUGCAUCAGAGAAGUACUUUUAUCAUUAAAAACCUUAUCAUUUCUACAUAGCCAAAGCGACCAAAUAACGGCAAGCGCUCCCACCUUAAGAAGAGUUCUAAACUUGUGAUCAAUCCCAUGUAACUAGUUGCCAAAUACAUUAGCAACACUACAAGGAGGAUACAAGCCAGAAGCUAUCUGGAUGACUGACCAUAUAGAACGAGCCAAUUUGCAAUGGAAGAACAAAUGUUUUAUUGUCUCAUCAUGGUGACAAAAAACACAUUGCGGACUUCCAUGCCAAUUUCUCUUAAUAAGGUUAUCUUUAGUAAGAAUGGCUCCACGACGAAGAUACCAUGCAAAGAAUUUAUUCUUAAGAGGUAUCUUCAUCUUCCAGAUCUUCUUAUUAUUAUCAACUGGCACGUCAGACUGGAUUAACACUCUAUACAUAGACUCCACUGAGAAUUGACCAUUCCCAUGUAGGUUCCAUCGAAAUAUAUAGACCCAUGUAGGAUCGUUGAGGUGGAGAAGAGAAAUCAUAAGGAAUUGUUUGUCUUUUCUUAUUUAAGAGAUGAUCUCUUAGCACAAUAUGUCUCACCAUGUUUUUAGGAAAAGCUAUAGUUAUUGAAAAUAAGGUUAAGAGAUGACCAUUAUAGACAUAGUUUUAUUUUCAUAUCUAAACUACAUGCAGGAUUUAAGAUAAGACUGUCUUAUCAGCCACUGUACGUGCCAUUAAUUGCAGCCACCGUGGCACAAUUUAUCGGUGGUCUAAUCUUAGCACUAUCAGACAAUUUCCUUACUUCCAAAAUAAAAACUUCGAUGGAUCUUGAAGAAUUUCUCUAAAUAGGCUUUCCCCCUACUUUAUAAAUAAAGCAUCCAACCAAUCAAUACAAAGAGUAGCAAGGUGCCGAAAAAAUAAAAGUCUGGUGGGGCAACAACACAAGCAUGCCCAAAGAAAACACAAAAGAAAAGCAGGAAAAAAUACCACCAAGUGGCCACAACAUCGUUGGAUCACCGGUGGAGCGAGGUACCUAGCCGUGUCAUGUAGCGCGUUCAACAUCUGCCCCAGCCGGUCGCAAUCCUGUUGCCUAGCCAAUAGGUGCCAGUGUUGCAUGAACGUAAGAAAUUUGAAGAAGGCGCUAGAGGCCCGUCGAAUGUGUCUUUCUCCCUCGUGCUUUCAAUGCACAAGGCUAUUUGUUUUAAUAGAUUUUUUUCUAGAUCUUGUGCUAUCUAGAUACACAUUCCCCUAACCUCAUGCCUACAUAGAACAAAAUAAAAGAAAGAAAGAACAACUCCCUUCCAUUUGAGUAUCUAUAAUUUUUUUCAGAGUUCAGAUAUGCUUACACUCCAAGUGUUUUCAUGUUUUCAGGAUGAAGCUGUGUAAACUCCAGUGGUGGAUAGUGAAUAAAGUUGUACAAACUACAUCUCUUAGGAAGCAAUCAACCCAACAUUUGUUUGAAUAACAGGAGGAAAAUGAGUGUUGUCUAUUGUAUGUACAAAGUAUUAUUAGUUUACUUCCAAGGUGAAGUCUGUCCCUAUGUUGUUGUAGGUUCUCGUCUACAUUCAUGAACUUGUGUGUUAUCUGUUAGAGUAUAUUGGCAUAUCUCUCUAUUUGGUAGAAUAGGAUUUGUAAUCCAUCUCCUGACUUAUGUCUAGGAUUUGUAAUAUAUCUUUGUCAUGUUAAACACUGUUCCUAGGAAGUUGUUUAAAGGCGGAAGGGGAGUAAGGCAGUGUGAUCCGCUCUCUCAAUUACUAUUUGUAUUGGCAUCUGAUUUUUUACGGGCCAUAUUGAAUGAUGUCAUGGGCAUGUGCAUUUUGCAGCCCCCUAUCAGAUUCUCUUCAUGCACAAAGUUUACUAUACUCCAAUGUGGAGAUGAUACACUAAUAGACUUACAAGCUAGUCCAACACAACUCACUAAGUUGAAAGGUCCAAUUUAUAUUUUCUCUAGAGCAUCUAGAUUGAAGGUGAAUUAUCACAAGUAUAAUUGAUACACAUUAAUGUGUCUGGAUCUAAAGCCCAAGGUCUCUCGUGAAUUUUGAACUGCCAUAUUAAAAGUUUUCCAUUUACAUAAUAGGCACUCUCAGAUUUUGACCUAGAAUGGAGCAUUUCACGUAUAUUAUUGAUAUCCAAAAAAGGUUGAGUGUUUGUUCUCAACACUUGAGUCAUGAUGCAUGGUAGGCUCUUAAUGGUGAAUGUUUUUUUGCCAACAUAAACCCUCAAAGAGGGUUUUAGAUUUUAUUUGUAUGCAACCCUCAACAAUGUACAACAAUCAACUUUCCAAACGAAAAGGUGAUUGAUUCCAGAGCCUCCUUAGACUUCAAAUUAGAAGAUUGUUUGCAUAAGAUAGAAAGACUAGAGGAAGAUCUCUCAAUAAAAGCUAUUUUAGCUAGAGUGUGGGUAAUUGAUAGGUGCAAACCCGUUGAAUGAGUUCACGCCCGAGGGUGGCCCGAUCUUCACGUCAUAGGAUCGAAUCGGGAUGGAUAACUAGCUGCAUGUUAUCGGGAUAACUAGCUUUAUACCUGCCAAGGUUGGAUUCAACCCGUACAUUGGGGAUGCCUGACAGGAGCUACAAGAACUCCAACCCAUUGUCCGAACAAUCGCAGAACGACAAACGGGGACUAACCCACACAAAACGAUUGAAACCGUAGAGCACGAAUUAGGGGGAACCAGUGGCUCCUUCUUGCGAAUCAGGUCAAUCCACAAGAGCAACAGUAGCAAGACCUCUCGGACCUUAGUAGUCUACAAGCUUGUAGCUAAUGUGGUUUUUUGGCUGAAAAGUUCCCUAGAGGAUGGGGAAGAUGGAGUUAUAUAACCAGGGACAACCCCCAUGGAUAGGUGUGAUGGAAGCUAGCUUGGGAACCAGGGUAGGUGUGAAAACAAACCAGCUUUGAGACUUAAUGGGGUAACUUCUGGAUAUCUCCCGGGAAGAUGCGAACAUUUGACCCCGAAUGAACAUUGUUUCAUCAAAGUCCGAACAUUGUUUCUUCAGCAACGAGCUUGGGCUUCAGGAAGUCUUUCACAAAAUGUGGAUGGCUAAACUCGGGUAAAACAACGUUUUACUAGAGUCGGAACAUUGUUUUCUCUGACAACAGACUUGUUUCUUCAUGAGCUUCUAAUUUGUUUCUUUGUCAUUAAAACAUUGUUUCUACACGGACUCGACGUCAUUGGCCUUCUUCCAUGCUGCACCUAGGUUCGGUCAAUAGCAAGAAAGUUGAAGGCGCAGCCAUGUGUUCAUGAUUAUAGUAAGAACUUAAGUUAGCAUUCACCUGGGCAUGUCUUUGCUUCAUUCGGCUUAAUAAUCUUUUCCAACUAAAUUGUGCACUUUCCUGAAAUGUCGUGUAUGAUGUACCCAUGUGCUCAUCAGUAAAGCCAUUCCUAGACCUGGGAAUGGACUUGAUAUUGCACGAUCUUAGAUGAGAAGAGUAAUUCGGAAAUUUAGCAAGCACAUGUUUGAUCUUCCAAUGUCUUAGAUUCUCCAAUAAAUUGCUUGCUCUUGCAGCUUUGAUAACCCACAGGUGCAGGGGACCAGUUGUAGCCUUUUCAAUAAGUAAGAGUGUCGAACCAAACGAAUAACUAAAGGUAGAAUUAAUAUUCUCUCAAGUUCUAUCAAUCGCCGAUGCAACUCUAUGCAAACUUAACGUUUGCUUUACCUAGAACAAGAAAUAAAACUACUUUGCGAGAACAAAACAAUAGCUUUGCAAGAAUAUAAAUAUUUAGGUGUUGUUUUAAUAAAAAGAAUAAUAAAGAAAAGGGUUUUGAAAAAAAGGAAAGGACUGUCCUUGGGUAAUUGGAUAUUUAAUGAUAGUGAUAAUCCAUUAUUGCAGUUUUUUUAUGUGGGAGAGGCCUAAGCUAACAUACUAUCCGUACUUGAAGCAUAUGUUCUUAUGAAUGAAUCUCUAGCAAGCAUCCGCAAAUAUCAAAGAUUCAUUAAGGUAAAACCCGAUCAUAACAUUAAGUUAUAAUGUCCCCUUUAAUCCCAUAUGCAACAACUCACGAAGUGGAGUUUAGCUUUCUAUCACUCCCGCAACCUACUAUAAGCAAAUUAAUCACAUAUUGCAGCACCCUACAACGUGAAUCAUACACGUGUGUGCGAAACGACAGGCACCAUAGGACAGCACCAUAAUACCAUACAACUCAUGUCAACCAUAGCAUAUCACAAUUAAACCACUGGGAUAAAAGAAUACUACUCAGACAUAAUAGAGAUGCAACACAUCAUUGCAUAAUAAUAUACAACAUUAAACACCAUGUUCGGGUAUAGAUUAUAGUGGGGUGAGAGAUGGUACACCGCUGCACGGAGAGGGAGAAAGAUGUGGAUGACGGCGGCCAAGUUGAUGGAAAUGAUCGUCGUCAUGAUGAUUCCCCCAGCGGCGCUCUAGCGCUACCGAGAGAGAGGGGGAGAGGCUCCCCUCCUUCUUCUUCUUACUAGGCAUUCCCCCUAGAUGGGAGAAGGUUUCCCCCUCUUGACCUUGGCCUCCAUGGCUCCCGGAGGAUGGUAGCCCCUCCGAGAUUGGAUCUCUCCUCCAUGAUUUCUCUCUGUUUUCGGUACUGUUUUCUGGCCGAACACCAUUUCUUUUAUACUCGUAAAUCCGAUCGGGCUGAAAUUUUGAGGGGAUAUUUCACAGGAAAUUAGCUUUUCUUCCAGUGAAAGAAGAGCUCAACCAAACUAAGGGCUGCUCACACGGGCCCAUGGCGCAGCUAGUGGGUGGUCGCGUCCCUGCCCGUGUGGGGCCCUCGAGCAUCAUUUUGUGUUGAUUCCUUCACCCAAAAAUCAUAUACAUUCCUGGAAAAUCAUAUUAAAUGACUGGAAUAUUUUAUGAUUCCUAGAUAUUAUUUUUCUGUAAACCCAAAAACAAGUAGAAAACAUUAUUUGGCACCGGGCAGUAGAUUAAUAAGUUCAUCCAGAAAAAUAAUCUAAAGUGCACCAAAACCAUAUAUAUAAUUGAUGUUAAUAUAGCACGGAUACUUUUGUUAAUCCUAGUGCUUCAGCCCACAAGAUAGAAGAAACAUUUUUCGCAGAAGUUUGAACAAAUAUAGUAAGCUUGUUAGAAUCAUUUUUGAGAAAAAUUCCAUGUCCAGUUUCAUCUUUUGCUAUCUUCAGAUUGUAAGUUGCAUCACUAUAAGCCGACAGAACUUCAAAUUGAGACUUGUGUUUGGAUCUUGGUAAGAUGUAUCAUUAUUGAUGAUGGAACCUAUUUUGGUCUCCUAUUCUCCUCUAUUAAUCCUGCAUUAAGCAUUGUUUUUUGGUAGCACAGAAGACAAGCAUAGGACUCCACUUCUUCUUAUUAAAAAGAAGAUCAUCCGUAGCUUUCUAAAUACCCCAUAGAAGAGUAAAAAUAGUAUCAAAUUUAAUUCAACAUAAUGAGAAGACUGAGCCAUUUGAAUCACAUCAGUGGGAUAUAAUGUAGGAUUUGACUCAUCGGACUUGAGACCUAAUAUGAACCAUAUGAGAUAUUAUAUUUAAAGAAGCUAGAGAUGAAGAUCAGUUUCAGUAUCACCACAUCUACAACAUUAUGUUUUAAUAUGAGUAGAAUACUUGGAUCCUCUUACUCCUAUAGCUAGUGCCCGUCUUAAAAUUCUUUAGGCAAAAUUUUUGACCCUAGGAGCCAAAUUUUUGCUUUUGCAAACCUGAUUAAAGGUAGAAAUCUUAGGCUCUGAACAAGCAUUGUUUGGGGCUUGGGACCAGAAUUGGGUUUCCUAGAUCCAAGCUUUGUAAGCACUUUUUGUGGUGCAUUCUACAUUAGAAGUGUGAGUCCAGGAUAAAGUAUCAUCCAUUUUAACAUUAAUUAUAGGAGGAUCUAAAAUUUUGUUUUUAAAUACUUAUCAAAGAAUAUGCUAAUUUUAUUGUCAUUCCAACUUUUACAAUUGGGUCUUCAAAGGUCACUCACAAUUUUGGGACAAGGCCUAUCUAAAUUGGGGUUCAGAUAAUCAUAGACUUUAUCCCAAUAUUUGCACCAAAGACUAGUCCAAAUGCAAGUAGUUACAGUAGGAAUUUGAGUUUGAAUAGCCUUGCAAGUCAAAGGAAGAAUUUUGAGGAUAGAGGACAAGAAAGUAGAUUUAGGAACAUAAACAUUGGCUUUCCAAAUAGAAGAGUUAUGAAAAUAUUUGGCUUUGAAAAUUUUAGUAAAAUUGGAAUUGGGAUUCUUAAUAAUUGUCCAAGCCAUUGUAGAAACAAUGGACUUAUUCAUCGUAUAUAAAUCUCUUAUGCAGUUAUGCCUAGGCCACAACAUAGGUUUGCAAUUAUCAUCCCAAGCUCUAAAGUAAAUAGGUUUAGAAUCAUUGUCCUUGUCGAUAUAAGUCCGCCAGAAUUUUCUAAUAAUGGAAGUGAGUUUAUUGAUGGUGGAUUUAUUUAACAUGAUAUUAGACAUGGAAUAAAUAGGGAGAGAAGCAAAAACUGAUUUAAUAAGAGUGAGCCUCCCUGCAUGAGACAACAUGUUUGCCUUGUAACAAUUAAGUUUGUUUUUAAAUUUAUCAAUAAAUAAAAUUAUAAGCCGCAUGCCUAUUUUUACCAGGAAGAAUAAGAGGAUGCCCAAGAUGAGUAGUAUUAAACUCCAUAUUAGGAGAAGGGGAAAUAGUUUUAAUUUGGUUGCUCAGAUUUUCGCCAGUAUACUUACUAAAAAGUAUGGCAGAUUUAUUCUAAUUAGGAUUUGCUCAGAAAAAGAACUAAACUAAUUGAUGAUAGAAGAAAUAAUUUUGCCAUCCGCAUUAUCUGCCAUGCCACACACAAUCAGACCAUCAGCAAACAUCAGAGAGAGAAUAGGGGGACAACCUAGCCCUAGAUGGAUACUACUCAAAUGACUGGCAUUUAAAGCCUUCUGCAUGGAAAGUGGCAACUCGUUAACUACAAAUAUAAAGAGAUACAUCGACAAAGGGUAGCCUUGUCGGAUGCCUCUGGAACCCCUAAAGCUUCCAAAUUGUUGCCCAUUAAUGCUAACAGUAAAGGUGGGCAAAGAAAUGCAUUCCAUGAUUAAAUCUAUGAAAUGACCAUGCAACCCUUUACGUAGAAAAGCCCUCCUAAUGAAGCACCACUCAAUUAUGUCAAAAGCUUUGGCUAAAUGAAUUUUAGGAAUAAAAGCUUUGUGCUUCCAGGAGUUAAGAAGAAAGGGGUGGGUGUUGAGCAACAAUAAUAUUAUUAGAAAUCCUUCUACCCUGAACAAAAGUUUGCUAAGACUCAUGGAUGUAAUCAAGAAGAAAAUUUAGAGUAUUAGCUAAAGUUUUUGUGAUGAUUUUCUACACGACUAAUGGGCUUAAAAUCUUGAGGGAUUUUGGCAUUAUCUUUCUUCGAAAUUAAAGUAAUGUGGGUUUUAUUAAGUUGAGGAUGAGGCUUGCCCCUUGUGUAGAAAUCUUUAACUAAUAUAGUUACAUCUUCUCCUAUCCACUUCCAAGCUGGGAGGCAGAAGGCUACAUUAAGCCCAUCUGGUCCAUGGGAUGCAUUCCUCUUCAUUCCUUUAAGAACCUGCAAAACUUCAUCUUUGUUGUCUCCAAUAUCUGGUUUAGCUGGCCACCAUGUUCAGUUUGGACUCCACAGGUCCAGAAAGCACAUAGAAUCCUUGUCACCACUACCUUCCUAAAAGAGAGGUCACAAAACUUUGUUCAAGAACCACAGGAAGAACCUAAUGCCAGAAUAAUCGACAUCUGAGCCCACCAAUAUUCACUGUUAAGCAUAAUUGAAUCUAGGGUGGUAUUAUGGCCGGUAAAAUCAAGAACAGUCCUUGAGAUUGGCUAUAAGAUAGGAUCAUGAUUCCAUCAAAAAGAAGUUGGGUGUAUUAUUUCCAACACUGCAAAGUACAGUAUAAUCAAGUACAACAAGCUGUAUAUAUCAAGUCAAAGCUGAACAAUUAUAGAAGAUCAUGGAACACAGACAUGGACAUAUGGCGAUUCCAUAUUGUUUCCAGACAUAAAAAUUACACUCUUCUCUACAAGUAACAGGACGAAACUAAACUUCAUUGAUAACAAGGCAGGACAAGUACAUCAAUCAAGAUAAAACCAUAUUAGCAACUAUAGUGGGCACAUAGACACACAAAUCACAGUCUCACACACUAAUAAUACUUCAAUAAUCCAAGCAGCAUCCGCCACAUUGUCAUCUAAAUUUAACAACUUGAGUACAACAAAUACAGGCUAGCAUCACACACAAAUGACACAUACCUAGCUAUGAGCUCCCAUUGCCCUUUUUUGCCAUAUUCGCCGCGGCGCCCUUGCUCUACAGGAGGCACCACAUAAACCUAUGUGAAGAGGAAAAAGCUGGGCGGUCACCAAUUCCUUUUCAGGGGAAAAGAAAUCUUGCUUUGAAUCCCCAACAUUGUGACGCUCGCCAUGCCAGGGAGACCACCCUGGCCUAGAUUCCAAUUCUGCCCGUUACCACUUGACCGGUGAGGCGAAUCCAACUCCUGGUCGAUGACGUCAACAACGACAUCAAGCACAGCCGCAUCCCCUUCCCCAAGUACAAGACCCACGGAUUCUAGACCUAGUAAGGGCAUGGCCAUCGCUCCACUCUGGACAGAUGGUCCAGCUAUGCACGUCGGAUUCUACAGUCCAGCUCAUAUGAACCUGAUGCUUGCAGACCAAAGCGGUCUCCUGCAGAAGAACCCGUCUCUUGGCUGACAAAAGCGAGAGAAAGAGGGAAAAGCAAGAGAAAGUGGCCAGGAUGACCUUGCCCGUGCCCCUUGUUUGAGUAAAUAAUAGAGGAUGGGUCCCACUAGAAGGGUGGCUAGCGUUGAGUAAUCAAUGUCACAACGGUGGUUUCGUCUUCUCUCGCUGAGAUGGAGUGCACUGGGGCAUCACCUGGUGCUGCUACCAUUGCUCAUGCCCUAAAAGGUACAAGUCUCAACGGACAUAGGAUACUCUGAUGUUAACAAAGUUUUCAGUUGAGCAUAAGCGUACCAGUUACUGCUGUAUUUGUCUGCUUCCUGGGAAAAGCAUGCUAUGCAUGACUAUCGUUAGCAUAAAGAUGUUUUUUUAACUCUAAGGCAUAGCAUGCAGGGGUAUUUAUGUAUAUUUCUUUUUCUUUAGGCGUCACUUACCACCAGGCAUACAUGACGACUGGCACCAUCAACUCUAUGAGCCAAACUGCUUAGGGCAUGUACAAUGGUGCUAUCUUAGGUGUGCCACGUAGGAUCAUUGAGGUCGAAAAGGGGCACUUUAUUACUUAAAAGGUUUAAGCAUUACACCCGACCUCUGCAUAACUAAGAUGGACACAGCCAAACAAAGUCCUCUCGCACAAACAAAAAAUAAAAGGCGAAAUACCAAGAAACAUGUAGACACUACUGGAAUUCUGGGCUACGCCGAGUGCCACGGACACUCGGCAAAGGGCCGAAAACCGCCGGCAGCAUUUGCCGAGUGUCACCUUCGGCAAAAGCCACCCGGCGUACACCUCUUUGGCAAACAGGUGUUUGCCGAUAGCCAGAACACGGGCACUCAGCAAAGACUUUGUCGAGAGCCAAACAGUACCACUCGGCAAAAUAAAGUAGCUAACGGAUAGAAGACGGUGACGGCGGUUCCUGACACGUGGGACCAGGGGAGCAGGCCGAGCGCCUUCUUUGCCGAGAGCCACACUCGGCAAAGAGAGCCAAUAGGUGGCUGACACGUGUCAGCUCCUAACAUGUGGGACCCGGCGAACAGGCCGAGGGCCAACUUUGCCGAGAGCUGCUCUCGGCAAAGCCACCCAGUAGGUGGUUGACACGUGUCAGCUCCUGACAUGUGGGGCCAGGCGAACAGGCCGAGGGCCAACUUUGCCGAGUGCCACUCUCGGCAAAGACACCCAGUAGGUGGCUGACACGUGUCAGCUCCUGACAUGUGGGACCAGGCGAACAGGCCGAGGGCCAACUUUGCCGAGAGCUGCUCUCGGCAAAUCCACCUAGUAGGUGGCUGACACGUGUCAGCUCCUGACAUGUGGGGCCAGGCGAACAGGCCGAGGGCCAACUUUGCCGAGAGUUGCUCUCGGCAAAGCCACCCAGUAGGUGGCUGACACGUGUUAGCUCCUGACAUGUGGAACCAGGCGAACAGGCCGAGAGCCAUCUUUGCCGAGUGCCACGCUCGGCAAACGCUAUCUUUGCCGAGCGUGACUCUCGGCAAACUCAGCCAAUAGGGGAGGACCACGUCACUUCUCCUAAAAGCCGUGAAAAUUCUUUGUCGAGAGCCACCGUCGGCAAUCCUUUUUCCUUUACCGAGAGGCCUCUCGGUAAAGUUGCCAGUAGGGCUACAGGUUAUUAUCCUUUACCGAGAGGCCUCUCGGUAAGGUGUCAGGUUAUACUGUUUGGUAUACGUUUACCGAGAGGCCUCUCGGUAAAGGGUGCAUUCUGGUCCAGUUUGACAGUCAUUGCCGAGAGCCGCCCUCGGCAAUGGUGUGCCCAGGAGCUUUUUUUCCUUGUUUUUGUUUCUUUCCUGCAGCGAAACAUAUACAACAGCAGCAUAUAGUUCAUCACACAUAGAACAUGUCACAUAUAGGCAUCAUUGAACAAAAGAAGCAAUGAUUGAUUCUGAAAAACAUUCCACAUAAAAGCAAUAGUGCAUAAAAGCAAUAGACCACAAGUUUACAAGUCUCAAGAUGCAAGAGUUCUCAACAUACAAGGAACAGUUUCAAACAUAACAUAACAUGAAGUUCACGCGAUUUUGGAGAGCGGAGUGAUAACAUCAACAUUAGAAGGCAUCAUUCCGUUUGCUGCCCCAACUCCAUCAACCGGAGUUAUAACAUCAACAUUAGAAGGCAUCAUUCCCUUUGCUGCCCCAACUCCACCAACUUGAGGUGGAACUACCGGAACAUUGUUCAACCUUUGUGAUGGGUUGAGCUAUGAUGGAUUGACCCAAUAGUGAGAUGAAUGCAUAUGGUAACGCCGAAAAUGGUGAUAGAAAUAGUUUGAACGAAACUCACAAUGUUCCACUCUGGAGUCGGUGGCAUCUCAUGCAUUGGUUGGCCUUGCAUGGAAUAAAGAUUGGCCACCAUAUGUUGUAAAGACUUCACUAGAUCAUCUUGUGCCUUCAGCUUGGCCCAGUUUUCAUCUUGUUCUUUCUCGGUGUCAAUCAGUCGAGUCUACAAUAUGGCAAUGCAAAUGUCAUUCAUGUUGAAAUGCAAAUAUCCUCAAUAAUGAAGAAGGAUCAAUGAAGAAGGACCAUGAAGGAUCAAUGAAGAAGGACCAUGAAGGAUCAAUGAAUAAGCACUGAACUGAAUAUCCUCAAUAAUGCUCACGGAAUGUGGUACGUGACGCUCUACGGUAGGAGUAGAGACAGUACUCAUAGCACGAAGCGUGUUGACUCUCGGAAGGGAGGACGUUAUGACAGAAUCGAGGUGAACCACCAUCUGGCCAUUCGGUCUACCGCCUGCCACGGCAAUGGCCACAAGAGGGUCAAACGGUAGCACGUGAGGAUAAACGUCAGGCCCGUAUGUCUCCUUCAAUUUUUUGGUGUAGUUCUCUCCAUCUGACCAGGCUUUAGAGCUGAUCCAGUCCAUCUCCGGGUGGAGAGGGUCCUUGUCCUUGUCGUCUUUCGUACGUUUGAUGGUCCAUGCCUUGAAGUAAGUGAUAUCCUUGCCAGUGUCUUCUUUCUACAAAAGAAAGUGAUCCAAACAAUCAAGGGAAUGCUCACAAAUGAAAGAGAACAUGAUGAAAAGAAAAGAAUGUGGUUGCCUACAUGUUUUGAGACGACACCUGGGAUGGUGAGGUUGCCUUGACGGUGUCCUAGACCCCCCAUCAACUUACGCCGUUCAGAUAUUACUUUGUGUUCAUCCUGCCACCCUGGAUCUGUCCACCUUUCGACGAUCUUCUCCCAGCACGGACGUUUGUCAGCGCACCACCGAGGAAUCACCUAUAAAUUAAACAAAUACAUCUUAGUAAGGAUUCUAAUUUUGCCGUAAUGUAGGGAAUAACAAGCAUCCAUCAUCACUUGCCUUGAAGUAAUUGUCCCGUGAAAGAUGCGUCCCUCGAGCCUCCUGUUUGGAAGUCCUAUGGUUGAGAUAGUCCGCGUGAUACUUGACCACUAACCAGACGCGCUCCUCAUAGUGCAUGUCGUGGAUUAGUUUCUUGGCAAUAUUGUCAACCACCACAUUUGCACGAUCCUUCUGACCCUCAACACAUGUAUAGAAAUCCUACAAACAUGCAUACAUGUGAGAAGGGUAAAAUCAUGACUAUGGCAAAUUUAAACCUUUUGGUAUUGACAUUUAGGUGUUUGAAAGGACUUACCCAGAAAUCGUGGACCACACGCAUGGCUCUGUUAUAGAAAACCCUCUGACGCAUAUCCAGGAAAUCCGGUGCAAGUUUGUAGUGAUCCCAUGACCAAGCUGGCUCAAUGAUACCGUUCGGCAAAGUGACCAGUCCAGGAUAAUUUAACCUACGAAGACCCCCAAUGAUGGCACUCGGCGACCGUGGCAGACUCCUCUCACCACCUUUUACUAAGCUUCUGCAUUUCGAAGAGUGAAGUCAUAUUAUAUGUGAGGAAAUGACAAAAGGUACAAUUUAUAUGGGACACUACAAGAAAUAUGUCAACUUGUGACCCUCACUAUUGGCCGCUGAAAGAUCAUAGUUUUUUAUUUGCGACCUUUUUGUGACCAUAAACAGAAGGUCAAAAGCUGGCGGUCGUAAACUGAAAUUAGUGACCUUCUUUGUGAUAUGUAAAAGGUCGUUGGUUCCACGACCAAAUUUUUCGUCACUAGAAACCUCCUCAGGCUACGUAGGCAUCCAGCGUGGCAAGCUGAUGUGGCACAAGAAUCAGCCCGGUCCGAUUCGGCGUUUUACAUGGGCCGAGCCCAUUAAUUCAGCCUUUUUACUGUAUAUUUUUUCUGUGAAUUUUCUCUAGCUACAUGGGCCUGGCCCAACCACUACUAGAAAAGGGCUAUAGAUGGGAUUGACACUAAUGGCGCACCAGACAAGCGGUGCACCAUUAGUAUCAAAUUUUUUUUGAACUAGUGCGCCUGUCCAAACAUACUAAUGGCGCAUCCAGACUUAGUGCUCCAUUACUAGUUGUAACUAGUAAUGGCGCACCUGUCGGAAAGUGCGACACUAAUGUUGUUUUUUUAUUAUAUUUUUUAUUCCUUUUUUUUGCAAAACUACUAAUGGCGCACUGCUCCGCCGUGCGCCAUUACUAGUUUAAACUAGUAAUGGCGCACUGUGGAGCAGUGCGCCAUUAGUAUUUUUUUUUUGCAAAACUACUAAUGGCGCACCACCAGAAGGUGCGCCAUUAGUAACGCGGAUUACUAAUGGCGCACUUAGAGUUGGUGCGCCAUUAGUAAGUGGGCAGCAACAAGAUAUUUUGGACAGCCUCUCCCCUACCCACACUCACUUUCUCCCCACUUCAUUCUCUCCACCUCCUCCUUGUCUCGGGUGCCUCCUCUUUUUCACCUCAUUGCCACCAUAGAUUCAUUCAAAUUAAAUGGUUAAAUUACCUUGUUUUGAUAGGUAAGUAAGGGGGGAAGCUAUAUUUAUGUUGUUCUCCCUACAACAAUGUGCACAUGCACUUUUUAUGGCCUAGCUAGAUCUAUGUAUGUUCGUGGUGUUUCAUAUGUUUGUGGUGUUGCAUAUGUGUUUGUGUUUGGAGGUGUACCGGUAUUUGAAAUGCGAUAGUUGCCAAUAUUUUGCCGGAAUGUUGAUUCAUUUCCAUUUCGGCGAGAAUUUUGGCAUUAAGCAUUCUUUUUGGUCCUAUUUUUAGGGAAAGUCAUGCCAAAUAUUUUCUUGGUUCUAAAAUAUCGUUUUUCUCUACCCCGCAGGCGACCAUGGUCCGCACGAUGACCGAAGGCAUCGUGAAAAUAGGUUUUUGAGGUCCGCGAAGGCCGAGAUGCUUCAAAAGAACGAGACGGAGAUAGGAUGUCCAUGUCGAAGAUGCAAGCUGAAGAGCCUUAUUGCGGAAGGUGCGGGACCACCUGCUCUUGCGUGGUUUCAUGGAUGGCUAUCGGUGGCAAGGUGAUGAAGAUGACUAUGAAGUCGUCCAUGGGGGCCGGGCAAGAAAUGAGGAAGGGCAGCAAGACAACCACCGCGGCUCGGGCGGGCGAGAAGACGAAGAAUCCCCAGGAGAUGAUCACGACGGUGAUGCUGUACACAGUCAUCAUGUAGAAGAUGCAGGACAUGAUGAUGAGGAAGAUGCCGGAGCAGACGACGGGCAUGAUCAUGAAGACGAUGAUGGCGGCGGAGCAGACGACGCUGGACCAUCGAUGGGCUGGGUGCAGGACCCUCAUAUUCAAGAGCUGCUUCUCAAGCAGACGGAUAACGCAAGAGCUGCCGCCCGAGAGAAAGCCAAGAUGGAUCAACUUGAGUUAGACGUGGUUACUCCAUUGUAUGAAGGAUGCAGGCCCGAGGAUACCCGCCUGAAAGUAACGCUCAUGGCUCUGGAGAUGAAGGUGAAACACAAAAUGACCGACGCAUGCUUCGACGAGAACAUGUCAUUCUGGCACGAAUGUCUUCCCAAGGGGAACAAGUGCCCGACCAGUUUGGAGGAGGCUAAGAAAAUCGUGUGUCCUCUGGAUUUAUCGCAUGUGAAAUACCAUGUGUGCAUGAACAAUUGCAUCAUUUAUCGGGACGAGCACGCGGAGUCUACCAUAUGUCCGGUUUGCGGCGUCACUCGAUACAAGAAGAGGAAGAAAGCUCCUCGAAAAGUGGUGUGGUACUUUCCGAUCACUGCUCGUCUGCAGCGGUGUUUCGCGGACCCUAAGGUAGCAAAGCUCCUGCGUUGGCACGCGGAUAGGGAGGAGAAGAAGCGAGAAGAUGACGCAAAUGAUCCGGAGAUAGAUAAAAAAGACAAGAUGCUGAGUCACCCUAAGGAUGCGAGCCAGUGGCAAGUGUUGAACUUCGAAGACCCAGAAUUUGGGAAGGAUCCAAGGAACAUCGUGCUGGGCGCGAGCACCGAUGGAGUCUAUCCGUUUGGCAGCCAGAGAAGCGCACAUAGCACCUGGCCUGUGUUUGUGUGGAUGUACAACCUUCCCCCCUGGUUGUGCAUGAAGAGGAAGUACAUUCACAUGAGUAUGCUAAUUGAAGGGCGAAACAACCAGGGAACGACAUCAAUCUGUAUCUGGGGCUGCUGAAAGAGGAGCCUGACACGCUGUGGAAAAUGCCAGCCAAUACGUGGGACGCCGCAGAGAAAGAAUAUUUCCCUAUGAGAGCCGUACUGCUCACGACGGUGCACGACUAUCUCGGUUACGGAUAUCUCGCGGGGCAGGUAGUCCACGGAUUUUCUGGAUGCGUAAGGUGCAUGGAUGACACAACGUAUCGCCAGCUAGAUAGAGAUCCCGGGUCUUCGAAAACCGUGUUCAUGGGACAUCAAAGGUGGCUUCGCGAUGAUGACCCGUGGAGGAAACGCAAGGAUCUGUUCGAUGGUGAAACCGAACCCCGAAAAUGCCCGUGUACGAGGAGCAGCGAGGAAAUAGACAAGCUGUUGAAAAAUUGGAAAGACUGCCCACUGCCGGGAAAGAAGCAAAAAGCGCCAGAGCCGGGAAAGAAGCGAAAGGCGCCAGAGCCGCUGCUGAAGGUAUGGAAAAUGAGGUCUGUUUUCUGGGACUUGCCGUACUGGAAGAUCCACCGUGUGCCUCACAGCCUUGAUGUCAUGCAUAUCACGAAGAACGUGUGCGAGAGUCUGCUUGGUACCCUGCUCAACAUGCCAGAGAGGACCAAAGAUGGGCCGAAAGCAAGGGCAGACUUGAAAUCAAUGGGCAUCAGGCAGGAGCUUCACGCUAAUGAUGAUGAUGAUGAUGAUGAUGAUGAUGAUGAUGAUGAUGAGGCGAAGCAGGACACAGUAAGUCGUCGCAAAGGAAAAAAGGCCAAGAAGACCGGAAAUGACUACCCUCCCGCGUGCUUCACUCUAAGUCAGGAGGAGAUCGAGCAGUUUUUCACCUGCCUCCUAGGAGUAAAACUUCCUUACAGUUACGCGGGGAAGAUAAGCAGAUACCUAGACCCAGCGAAGCAGAAGUUCAAUGGGAUGAAGUCUCACGACUGUCACGUGCUGAUGACGCAGAUACUUCCAGUUGCAAUCCGUGGGAUCAUGGACGCGCACGUCCGUGAAACGCUAUUUGGCCUAUGCAACUUUUUCGACGUCAUCUCUCGGGAGUCGAUUGGAGUGAGGCAACUCAGAAGGCUACAGGAAGAGAUCGUGGUGAUACUAUGCGAGCUUGAGAUGUACUUCCCGCCCGCAUUCUUCGACGUUAUGGUGCAUCUGCUGGUCCAUAUAGUGGAGGAUAUCAUCCAACUUGGGCCGACGUUCCUGCACAGCAUGAUGCCGUUCGAAAGGAUGAAUGGUGUCAUCAAAGGAUACGUUCGCAACAUGUCACGUCCAGAGGGAAGUAUAGCCAGGGGCUUUCUGACCGAAGAGUGCAUCUCCUACUGCACGAAUUAUCUAGACAUUGAGAACCCCGUUGGUUUGCCCGUCAACAGGCACCUCGGCAGGCUCGCUGGAUGGGGUCACCGUGAGGGUCGCCGCGAAAUGCAUGUCGACUUAGAGGGUCGACUCGCCGACUUUGAAAGAGAAAACCUAGUCGCGCUACAACACAUAGAUGUGGUCGAUCCUUGGGUGGUAGAGCACAAAACCUUUAUUAAGAAGACGUACAAUGACCGAGGCCAACAGAGGACGGACGGAGAUAUAAUCAAAGAGCACAACUCAUGUUUCACGCGUUGGUUCAAGCAGAAGCUUCUAUCGUACCCUUUACAUGAGGAUUCUUCCGCGGAAGAACAACUCAUAUUCGCCUUGUCACAGGGCGCCGAGCACAACCUGAUGACCUAUGAGGCGUACGAUAUCAACGGCUACACAUUCUACAUCGAGGCCAAGGACAUGAAGAGCGAUGGUUAUCAGAACUCCGGGGUAACAAUGGAAUCCUACACCGGUAAUGACAAGGACAGAUACUACGGAAGGAUCGAGGAGAUCUGGGAGCUGAGCUACGCUGGAGAGAAGGUCCCGAUGUUCCGUGUCAGAUGGGCGAAGAGUGUCCUAAAAGAAGACCGGUAUUUCACCACCAUGGUUAUACCCGAAGCCAAAUCCAAGACCGCGGGCGCAAACGUCACCGCGAAAAAUGAGCCACGGGUACUGGCUUCCCAAGUUGACCAAUGCUUCUUCAUUACCGACCCGUCAAAGCCCUGUCGUGUUGUCGUGAGGAGAGGCAAAAGGAAGAUCAUCGGAAUGGAUGGAGUAGCCAAUGAGCAAGACUUCGACAAGUACGGCGACCCGAGGAUCGAACAUGACGACGAUGAUGAAGUAGCAGCAUACACCACAAGAAGAAGCAGGACCACCCUACCUAAAGGACACCCGUUCCACAGAAGAACUCCAUUUGCGAAAAAGAAGGGCAAGAAGAUUGUGAACAGAUAGCUAGCUAAGAUCGAUUGUAUUUAAAUCGUAGUCUUCAUUUCUCGAUUGUAUUUCAUGGGCACUUUCUGAACUAUCAUGAAUAUUUUUAAAUUUCAUGGACACUCGAUCUCGAUCNNNNNNNNNNNNNNNNNNNNNNNNNNNNNNNNNNNNNNNNNNNNNNNNNNNNNNNNNNNNNNNNNNNNNNNNNNNNNNNNNNNNNNNNNNNNNNNNNNNNNNNNNNNNNNNNNNNNNNNNNNNNNNNNNNNNNNNNNNNNNNNNNNNNNNNNNNNNNNNNNNNNNNNNNNNNNNNNNNNNNNNNNNNNNNNNNNNNNNNNNNNNNNNNNNNNNNNNNNNNNNNNNNNNNNNNNNNNNNNNNNNNNNNNNNNNNNNNNNNNNNNNNNNNNNNNNNNNNNNNNNNNNNNNNNNNNNNNNNNNNNNNNNNNNNNNNNNNNNNNNNNNNNNNNNNNNNNNNNNNNNNNNNNNNNNNNNNNNNNNNNNNNNNNNNNNNNNNNNNNNNNNNNCGCUCCACCGGCAUUACUGUUUGAUGAUAUUUUUAAAAAAAUUAUUACUGUCUUAUAGAAAAAAUAUUACUGUUAUGAUUUAAACAAGUUUGAACAUAUUUAAACUCAAAUAAGUAUCAAACGGCAUUUUAAAUGCAUAAAAAAAUUGUGGAGCCUGGGAAUCGAACCCACAACCUCCUGGUGUGAGAACUGGCUACUGACCAGUCGAGCUAGUAGAGGGAACUUGUUGUGGGUCAGGUCAGGUGGAAGAUAACAUGUUGGCUCGAGCAGAAAUAAAAAAAAUACUAAUGGCGCACCAGGUCGAGGUGCGCCAUUAGUAUGUAUGUACUUAUGGCGCACCGAGGGGUGGUGCGCCAUUAGUAUUGUGCCCUCGCCCUCGAUCCCCUUCCCCUCUCUCUCCCUCGCCCUCGCCUAUCCCCUCUCUCUCCCUCGCCCUCGCCCUCGAUCCCCUUCCCCUCUCCUCUCCCGAUGCCGCUGCCCCGCCGCCUCGACGCCGCCCCGACGCCGCCUCGAUGCCGCCCCGUCGUCCUCGUCUCCUCGGCGCCGCUCUCCCCGUUGUCCCACCUUGUUGGACGCCAUCGCGCCGUCGCCCUCGUCGCCGGUGGCCCGGACGCCGCCCCGUCAACACCACUGUCGCCGGANNNNNNNNNNNNNNNNNNNNNNNNNNNNNNNNNNNNNNNNNNNNNNNNNNNNNNNNNNNNNNNNNNNNNNNNNNNNNNNNNNNNNNNNNNNNNNNNNNNNNNNNNNNNNNNNNNNNNNNNNNNNNNNNNNNNNNNNNNNNNNNNNNNNNNNNNNNNNNNNNNNNNNNNNNNNNNNNNNNNNNNNNNNNNNNNNNNNNNNNNNNNNNNNNNNNNNNNNNNNNNNNNNNNNNNNNNNNNNNNNNNNNNNNNNNNNNNNNNNNNNNNNNNNNNNNNNNNNNNNNNNNNNNNNNNNNNNNNNNNNNNNNNNNNNNNNNNNNNNNNNNNNNNNNNNNNNNNNNNNNNNNNNNNNNNNNNNNNNNNNNNNNNNNNNNNNNNNNNNNNNNNNNNNNNNNNNNNNNNNNNNNNNNNAGUUUCUGGUAUGCACCAUCAUCCAUCCAUUCCAUGACAUUCAACCUGACGGCCAUAGGAAUCUACACACAACAAGUUGAACUCAAUACCAUGCUUUCUAGUGUUGAAUCCGGUAUAACAAGUUGAAUUCGGUGUUGGCUCGUACUAUUAUAAGGAGAUGACAAAAAAAACAAUAACAUGCUUUCCUCAAAACCCUUCUUAACGAGAGGAACCCUGCCUUUAAUUGUAGCAAAACCCAAAAUCUUUAGCAUUAUUUUGGAUUUUGUCAGGAAAGAGAAGAUCAUUAACUGUUUCUGGUAUAUGAUUCAGCAAACAUCCUGGCCUUGCUGGUCUGUGUUGACUUACAUGCAACACCCUGGACUUUUAAAUUACAACAGGAUAGGGUCUACUUAUUUUCAGCAAACCCCCAAGAGUUGGAAAUCUUCACAAAAAAGGUCCUAAUUAUUUACCACAAACCCCCUGGAGGUGGAAAACUUCACAAAAGAAGAUCCUGCUUAUUUAACGCAAACUCCCUCAAGUUUGAAAUCUUCAGGGAAAAUACUCAAUACAAGAAAGAAGAACAGUACAACCUAGUGGCCUACAACCACAUAAGUGGUAUUCACAGGGGAAAUACUUACAAUAAAAGCUGGUGAAAAUAUAAGAAGAUAGAAAGUACUUUACAUAAGCAAAGUGAAAACUGUUUUGAGCAUUUUUGCCCGUUUAACAUACCUGUAGCAGU